GGAUGAUGAGUAGUCAGCUUGUGCUUGGAUGGCAGGAGAAACCAAUGCAGGACCCUGACUUGGAUUGGCUGAACCCAAAAAAAAAAAAAAUUUAAUUAAUUAAAAAUAAUAAUAAUACACAUAUAUACAUACAUAUUUUCAUGAUUUCUAAAGUUCAAACUUCUCUUUUCCGUUCUUGGAAUUUGUUAAUAACUAAAGCAUCACUUAUAAACUGUUCUGUAAGGAAGACCUAGAAUAUUUGCACUCAAACAGUAGAUGGAAAGUACUUCAUCCAGGAUUUAGGAUAUGGGCUCCGAUUAAACCAAAUAUUCAAAUGGUACAUCAGAUGCUUCAGUACUUUGGACCGUCUUUCUCUAUUUAAAAAAUUAAUUCUUCAUUAACCUUAAUUAAAGUAGUCAUCUUUUUCCUCACAUAAAUCAUGAAAAUUCUGUUUAAAGUACAAGAUUUUUCCUCACUUAGUAGACAUAAUAUACAUUGACCAGCCAACAGCCCUUAGCAACUUUAACUUACAAUAUGCAGGCCACUUUGUUAUGAGCUCCAAGCUAGAUUCAUAUUCAGUUAAGAUGUGCUUCUUCAAUUAUAUGACGAAACAAGCUGUGCUCCUAGAAUUACAUGAAGAAACAAAUUAAAAUACAAUGCUUCAAUAUUUUGCCUUUAUAAGACUAAUGUCUUCACAUACUCAGGAAAAGGUACGUGACCGCAUUAAAAUUACUGAAAACAAAUUGUAGCAAAAAACAUUCAUCAUGAAAAGUUUAGGGAACUUCAACACGAGUACAAAAAUGAGAAGCCAAAAAAAAAAAAUUAAAUAAUGCUGUACCUAUGUGAGUAGGUUUUUUAAGUCUAAAGCACGUAGAAACCGUAAGUCCUAAAUAAAUUCAUUGAAAUUGAAAGGCUUACUAUUAUAUAAUUAUCAUAAAUAAAUAAGCCAGAUGGUAUUUCAGAAAAUAUACCAUUACUAGUUCAAUUGUGCACAUUUAAAAAUUGGGUCCAUAAUCACUCACAAAUAUGAGAAUUGAUGACUUUAACAAUUGACCAUCAGGGAACGUAAUCCUAUGUGCUCUCUGUAAAGUAACUAUUUAUCAAAAAUACAUUGAAAAUCCAAAUUAUUCCAGCGAUAAUUAGUAUACUUAAAAAAUGUGCAGCUAAAACCUACUAAGUCAAAAGUAAGGUAGCUCAGUAUGGGGUCAAUGUAGAGCGAAAAACAAAAUUCAUCAAAGAGUGAAUAUGGUGAUAAUAGGACACUACUUUCUUUUACUCAAGGAGUGAAGCAUACGUGAACGAUUUUAUGCAGGUGGCAUAUUUCUUUGUCUUCCAUGAAGGUUAAUUUAUAAUGCAUGUACAUACUUCAAAUAGAAGGAUAAAUUAGAAAAGAAUAAUUUCUAGAGUUGAGAUAAAGCACUUUAGAUGUAAUUGAGGGAAAGAUGAAAAAGGAAUCAUAUAUAGCACAUACGUUCUUUUAGCCUCAUGUAAGCAACUUUUGCUGCACUCAUCUCCGCUUGCUUCUUGGACUUUGCUUCUUGUCCAGAAAAAACUUGUCCUCCUACCUCAACAGUUGACACAAAAGUUGGUGCAUGAGAUUCACCAGAUUGCUUAGUAUUAUAAACUGGCAAAGCAUACGCUUCUUUCUGAGCCAAUUCUUGCAAAAGGUUCUUGUAAAGAACAGAAUCAUCCUGGAAAAAUAUGUUUAUUAACAAAAUAUGCGAAUAUGAAAGAAGAUAGAUCACUACUAAUACGAAAUUCAUAAGUUAUUCAUUAACAGUUAAUUAGAAGACUGGCCUGUUGAAAUUUAUCAAGUGACAAUGACAUUAAUGCAACUUUCGCCGCUUCAUGCUCGGCAUCUUUUAAAGUAGGAAAAAACUGAUGACUCUCAUAAGUUUGUCCAUCAAUUGUGACCUUACACUUGAAACGACUAGCAUGAGGAGGACCUUCCCUCUCACAUGAAUACAUAGGAAGAGGGAGAUUUUUCUUUUGAGUAUAGCUCUGCAGCUGGUUUUUGUAUAGGUGUUGCAUAUCUAUAAUUCAGAAAGAAAUUAUGAGUCACAUGACUUCUCAUCAUAAACAAUAGAAAUUCUUUCAUUUCCUUAUUUAUUGCCUAGAUAAAAACCAGAAGUCAAAUGUUCAGAAUGCAAGGAAAUAGGAUGUCAAUUCAAUGAAACAUCAGUAAACAUAGCAGUGAUGGCUGAAUCGCCUUGAGGAUAGAAAUACCCCGACCUUACCCUCCCCCGCUCCUUAAAAGAGUACCCUUCAUCCAUACCCCACUCUCACAUCAGGACUGCCAUCUUUAAUAGUUCUUACCACAGUAGGACUGGAACGCACACCCAUGAUCUGUGUCCCGCCAGUACAAUAUUUUAACUAAGUAGCAGCAGAACGCCAAAAAGCAUCAAUGUAAUUGAAUGGAUAAAAUAAGUACCAUCUAAGCUAAAUUCAUACCUUCAAACAAGAAACCAUCGAUGCGAUCAUCAAGCUAAAUGCCCAAGCAAUGUACUAAAGCAAUCAAAUCUAAGAAAUUGAACGUACAAAAUAAGUUCCAAUUAAGCUAAAUUCAUACCUUCAAGUCAGAUACCUCUUACUUGAAAUAAAUCAAGGUUACAGGAGAUGAGAGCACAAUCAGCUUAAUUGGUAGAGUUUAAAAAAUAUUAGGUCCUCUCUGGGGCAUACACAAUGAUGAAGAUGAAAAAGAUGAAGACUCAAAAAGUGAGAGAGAGAAAGGAGAAAGCUGAGAUUAGCUGCUUAGAGAAGGAGGCAGCAGAGAGGAAACCAAAUGGGAACAAAACCCUAACCUUGGGAAAGGAAAUAAUAUAAACAUAUACUAAGGUAUUUAUACGAGAAAAAAUACCUGGGAAAGGGCUGAAAAGAAAGAAGUUGUAUCUAUACCCCAACUGCACCCUAUUAGUUAUUUGAUUGACACAUUGCUUGACCCAAUUGGCUAGGUGUUUCCUCGUACGGGCACUGAAUAUGAAGCAGUGUGAACACUGAAAUUUCAAGUUUCCUUAUAUAUACUUUUUGAUUUCACUAUUUUACUUCUUUUCACUCACCUGAGGCUCAAUGUAAGAUCGUCAAAUAGACGGAAUACCUGAGGCUCAAUGUAAGAUCUUCAAAUAGAUGGAAUUGGAUUGAAAGAUUGAGUUCUCUCACUUGAUAUCAAAUUCAGAGUUAACUUAGAGAUCUAUUUCAUUAUAUGUUAUUAGUGCGUCUCAAAAAUGACAUGUAAUGGUCCACUCAAAUGUUUUAUUUAAAUAUCCGUCCAUAUAUUAUCCAAUAUUCCCUUUCAACAUUACCGUACCUAGCAUUAAUAAAUUUUAGGCACAUCACAGCAUAUCCAAAUUUACGUAUGUCCAGCAAUUUUCUAAUUGAAAAUGAUUUUGUACAUAAAAAUACAGAUAUGUGGACAAGAACAACAAUCAAGAUCAUCAAAUUUAGUAUGGAAGAAAAGAAUACAAAUGAAAAUAUGUGACAAUCCAACUUCAAUUGAAGUUGUUAAUUAGAACUUCACCAAGGCCAACAGAAGUAUGAGAAACAUGAAUCAUAAUUAUAAAAAAUAAUAAUAACAUAAAUCACUUAGAAGUUCUCUGAUGCGGUAAAUUGAAAUAGAGCUACAUUCAAGAAAUCAUGACUAUAGGCUUUGUCUUUAAUAGCCUCUUUAAUCCUCAAUCUUUUGACAUCACCAUAGCAGAAAAGUAAGUACACAAAAUUCAACAAUAUAUGCAUGAUCAAUCAAUAAAACCAAUAAACCAAAUAUCUAAAUCAAGAAAUUACAGAAAGGAAAAGAAAUUAUUACUAAAAUAAUUAUCUGACCUCUUGAUUUGUGAACAUCAUUGACAGUUGAGAUCGUUGCAUUGACCUGAGUAGUUCGAUCUGUUUCUCGAGCAUUUACUUGCACUGCACUUUCACUCGAAGAACCUACAAAAAUUAUUUAUAACCCAGUGUAAAGAAGAAGUAAAGUUUUCCGCACGAACAUGGUAAAGUAAAGUUUUCUGUAGGAAAAUGGUAACUUCAAAAUCCGUUUCAAACCUAUCAUACAUCCCCCACCCUCAUUUAAGACUAGUGCUUGCAAAAACUAGAAGUAAUUUAUCCAGAACAUAAAAGCAGAGAAAAUCCAGUCCAGUAUAAAUAUAAAAUUAGAUAAUACCUACCAUUUACCAUUUCAUUCAAGAACACCACACAGUUAACGAAACCAACAUAGGUAUGUUUCCAACUGUUGUACUUUCAAGUUAAUUUUGAAAGCGCGGAAGCUAAAGCCUAAACUGUUGUUUGAUAAAAGCCCAUCCACUGACUGAUACUUGGCGGGUAGCAAUUCCAUUCAAUAGCAGUCAUAGAAUAAAAGUACAAAACAAACCCCUGUUUAAAAAAUGCAAUGAAGCAGCCAUGAUUUCAAUUAUUUGCAUGUCUGGGAUUGCAGUUGAUUCCAAAUUGAGAAUAUACUUCGAGAAUAUGUUUGAUAAGCCCUUAUGUGAUGAUCGCUGGUUUAUUGAGUCUUAAAAGAACAACUCAAUCAACUAAUGUUUGAUUUGAAAAAAAAAAAUGGCAAAUCAAAAAAGUUUUGGAGUAGAUUCUCAAAAGAGUGAUUAUUUGAUAAUCCACCAUAAUCCCACAUAGUUAUCAGAAUGAAAUUAAAAUCCGAGGAAUGUUAUUUAAGGCAAACAGCACUUUUUUUAUUUUAACCAACACUUGCAAAUUGCAAUUCUUAAACUAAAAGCAUGCAAAAUAAAUGCAAAUUAAGAACGCACCUAACAGAAAAUAAUAAUAAUAAUAAUCUGAAUUGGCAAUAUUAAAAUUACCGUUAGAAGAGGAAGCGGCAGGAGUAGAGGAUGGUGGAGGAGGAGACGAGAAAUGUUGGAAAGCGAUUCUAGCGGCGUCGUUUUGGGCCUCUUUGGACGACUUGUAAAGAUCCGGAGUGGUGAAAGAUUGGUCGUUAACGGUAACGGUUGCUUGAAAGCGAGGGUUGUGGUCAAGGCCUUGUUUGGCUGUUGUGUAUACUGGCAAGUUCCACACUCUCUGGUGGCAUAGCUCCUGCAGCUUCGUUUUGUACAUCUUUUUUGCUUACAAUAUUUUCACUGAUUUUAAUUUUUUUUUUGGAAUGGGAAACUCAAGAGAAGAGAGAAAUGGAAUUUAGUUGCAAAAUUUGAAGUUUAAUUAUCAAAUAUUACGCCAAGAGAGUACGCUUCAGUUCCACGAACAGGUUCAGAAUAAAUGACGCUUGGGAAUGCUGAAAUGGAAUAAGGCCUUUUUAUAAACAAAUAAUAAUAGUAAACCGACGCCACGGUGUUUUAAAAAUAAGUUUUUUUUUUUUUAACCUUGAAAUUCCUUAUCACAGUGACGUUUUAAAAUAAUAUUUUUUUAAAAUGCAAAAAAAAAAUUUCUUUCUACCAUUUAUAAAAAAGAAAACUUAAAUAAUUUACUGUAUUAAACGUUAAAAUAAACUAAUAAAAAAUUAUCGAUAUUCUAAAAACCAAAUAAAUAAUACCUUUCCUUUAUCUUCUUCUCAAGGAAGGUGGCUAAAAACUUUCUUCUCCAAAGAGAUCUUGUUCUAUAAGGAGACAUGACAUGAAAGUUGAAGGAGAGGGUGAUCGAAGGGGGGAAUAAAAAAUCUUUUAUGGUUGGCUCGUGGACAUGGACUUCUUAUGAAAGGUGGUAACGCUGUCUCAACGUCAUAAUUAUACCGAAGCUAAGUCCAUUUCAAUCAAUAUAAAAUAUGAAUGCGGUAACGACUAACGAGAAGUUAAUAGUUUUGGAUCAAACGAAUAUACAACGUCGUUCGUGUGUUUAUCAAAUAAGAAUUCAAUUUAAACAAUGUAAAUGUGUUAACAAGAAAUUGAGAGUUAUUGAUAAGACGAGCAUAAAAUUAAAACGUCAUUCAUAUGUUCAUCAAACAAGAGUCCAUUUAUGUAUAUGUAUUAACAAGGAGUAGGGAGUUUUAGGUAAGACAAGCAUGUUGAGUUGUAAUCGGAAUAGACAGAAAUCAGAAUAGGAAAUGGAGAUCAGAAUAAAUUAUUUAUUUGAACUGUAGGAAUCGAAAUCGGAAUGAAUUGAAUUGUCAUAAAUGUGUUUACUUUGUCUUGGAAUCGGAAUCGAAAUGAAUUAAAUUAUAACAAAUUAUUAAAAAGUACUUAAUAAAUUAUUGUUAUAAUUAUUAUUUUAUAUUUUAAUUAUAGUGAUUAUUUAUUCAAAAAUUAUUAUUAUUAAUUAUUGUCAAUAAUAUAUUGAUAUAUUAAUUAAUUAUAAUUAUUAUUAUAAAUAUAUUAAUUACUAAUAUUAAUAUAUUUAUCUGCUGUACCGUACAUCCNNNNNNNNNNNNNNNNNNNNNNNNNNNNNNNNNNNNNNNNNNNNNNNNNNNNNNNNNNNNNNNNNNNNNNNNNNNNNNNNNNNNNNNNNNNNNNNNNNNNNNNNNNNNNNNNNNNNNNNNNNNNNNNNNNNNNNNNNNNNNNNNNNNNNNNNNNNNNNNNNNNNNNNNNNNNNNNNNNNNNNNNNNNNNNNNNNNNNNNNNNNNNNNNNNNNNNNNNNNNNNNNNNNNNNNNNNNNNNNNNNNNCAUCUGCUGUACGGCCAAGGCGGAUGUACGGUACAGCAGAUUUGACUUUUUAUUUUUUAUAUUUAUAUCUUUUAUUUAAAGAAGGGGCAUUUUAAGAAAUUUUGAAUGUCAACGGAAGCAAAAGAACUCUAGGUAAUGGGAGAUUGAUUCUCACCUCUCCCAAGGAAUCAAUCUCUCAUUCCUCAUUCUCAAAUAGUGGUGGGUUCCAUGAUUUCAAUUCUGAUUCUUACUCCAUUUUUUGGAAGUAAAUGCCGUUAAUCAUUUUGAUUCUCCAAUUUGGAAAAUAAAUGUACCAUAAUAUUUAAUCAAUUAUUAUGAUUAUUGGAUUUUUCAGAUACUUUUAUCUAUUUUGGUUGGAGGGACGAAGUUCACUUUCUAUUAAAAGAAACAUUAGAGGAGCUUUCAAAGUCUAGGCUAAGGUUGUUUCCCAUGGCCUUGAAGCAAUACCCAAAAAGAGCUUUCCGGCUGGCAAAAUAGGCUUGUGUUUCUGCGUCGCAAAAUGAUGUGAAUGAGCUUUCGGAGUGUUUCCUCUGAAAUUUUAGAUGCUGCAAAAUCAACAUUGUCCCGCUCGAAGUAACCCGGACAAUUUCAUUUCCUAAUUUCUUCUUAUUUAUUAUGGCAUUGAUUUUCAUUGCAAGCUCAUUGCUCUGCUAAGAAAAAGAAUAAAUGGGGGCCAAAAAAGGAAGAAAGAAAUAGAGGCAAAGGCAACAACAUUAAUGCACAAACCAGUAAAGGUAUUCCAUCGAUUUACGGCCACUGAUAGCAAGCCGGGGCCUUUAAAAACGGAAAAUACAAGCAAAGAAAAAUAGAAGCCAAUUGCUCAAUAGUGCAUAAUAUGCAUACGGAAAAUUUUCAUCACAUCACGACCCACAGUUAUUCGAAUAGGUAAUAAGACAGGAAUUUUCUUUCUUUGUUUAAAGUGAAAAAAAAAAAAAUCAAUGGCUCAGGAAGUAUCCCUCCAAUCUCCAGAACCACUCACUUGGCACUGGCAAGCUGGGUGCGGAGUAGCUUGGCAGCAGCGACCAUGUUUGAGAGGGCUGGCUUCACCUCAGUGUACUUGCGAGUCUUAAGACCACAGUCAGGGUUAACCCACAAAAUGUUGGUUUCUAGCACAGCAAGCAUCUUGUUGAUUCUGUCAGCAAUUUCUUCAGUUGAUGGUAUUCUUGGAGAGUGGAUGUCAUACACACCAGGGCCAAUUCCAGCACCAUACUUGACUCCCUCACGGAAGACAGACAGGAGCUUCUCAUCAGAACGAGAGUUCUCAAUGGUGAUCACAUCAGCAUCCAUGUCGAUAAUUGAGUGGAUAAUGUCGUUGAAGUUGGAGUAGCACAUGUGGGUGUGGAUCUGUCAAUCAAUAUACAAUAAGAUGAGACACAACAUCAACAGCUAAAUUAGAGAGAUGAGAUUGGAGAUUGAAAGGGCAACUGACCUGGGUAGUGUCCUGGACGCCACAGUUGGUGAUUCUGAAGGAGUGGACUGCCCAGUCCAAGUAGAAAGCAUGCUCAGAUUUCCUAAGAGGCAAUCCUUCCCUCAAGGCAGCCUCAUCAAUUUGAAUAACGUUAAUGCCUGCCUUCUCAAGAUCCUCGACUUCGUCCUUGAUGGCCAAAGCAAUCUGGUAGCAGGUUUCAUGUCUGCAAAAUUGGCAGCGAUUUAUGUUAAACAAUGUUUCCAUUUCAAAAGGUUAACCAAUAGUGAACCAGUUCUCAUUUAUAUACCUGGGCUGGUCAUUUCUAACAAAGGACCAGUUGAGAAUGGUGACAGGGCCAGUAAGCAUUCCUUUCAUUGGGCGAGCUGUCAUGCUCUGAGCCAAGGAGGACCAGAAGACGGUCAUAGCCUUGGGACGGCUCACAUCACCAUAGAUGAUGGGUGGCUUCACACAGCGAGAUCCAUAGGAUUGCACCCACCCAUUGGCAGUGAAGGCGAAACCUGAUAAUUGCUCUCCAAAGUACUCAACCAUGUCGUUCCUCUACAAAAACAAAUGUCCCAAUUCAAUAUGAGAUACAGCAUACUUCGUAUGCAAUUAGAAAUGCAGAAACAAAAAUGUAUAAAAUUUUAUCUAAUUCAAAACCAGGAGACAUUGCUUUGCUUCCAUUGGGCAUUGUGAAACUCACCUCAGGCUCUCCAUGGACAAGGACAUCAAUAUCAAGCUCUUCUUGGAGUUUGACAACCUUGUUGAUUUCCUCCUUGAUGGAAGCAACAUAUUCUUCCUCAGAAAUCCUAAAAAGGACAAAUAGUCACGGCACAGUUAAUACAGUAGUCGAAGUAAUUUCACACAUGGCAUUGAAUGAAGGAAAACCUCAGAUUGACUCACUUCUUAGCCUUGUAUUCACGGCGGACUCUCCUAAGUUCAAUGGUUUGUGGGAAGGAUCCAAUUGUGGUGGUUGGGAGGAUUGGAAGAUUGAGCUUCUUCUGUUGAGCAUCCAAUCUAGCACUAACGUUUGUAGCACGUCUGUGGUCUGAUCCCUUCAAAGCAGCAGCCUAAUUUACCAAGAGGAAGGAAUCACCGUUAGCAAAAAAAGGAAACUCUAAGGGGCAGCCACAUCAUAAAAAUGGAAAACAAAUCAAUCAUGCCACUUACAGCCUUUUGAACUCUCUCAUUGGUCACUCUCGGGGAGGACUUUCUUGAAGCCUGAGCUGCAGCAUUGGCAGAGAAGAAUCCCUGGAAACAAAUGAAAAGGAGAAACAAAGUUAGUCUCAUUCAUAUCAUUUCAAAAGGAAUAUACAUAUGCAAUUAGUGGGCUGAUUGUGAGAGAAAAUGUCCACAAAACUUUAACCAAACACCAAAUGCCCAAGUUGCCAAAUGAUGUUUAAUUCGGAAAAAUAUAUUUAGAAACAUUCAAAUAAAUAAUUUCCCCUUCUAAAUUUUCAUUUUCAACAACAUAUUUUACAAGCCAAGCUCAACUUCAGGCCAAGAUUUUCUGCUCCUAUAAUUAUAUUUUACCAUAAAACUAGGUCCUUGAAAGGCUAAGAUUUUCUGACUCUUGUGACUAGUCAAAGCCUAAGAUUCUUUCAAUUCAUCCGUAGCUAACAUUUUAGACUAAAAGUAUACCUCAUCCUUUUGGCCAGCCAAAGCCUUGGCCAAUGCAUUCACUUCAACAACUUUCUGGGCAGCAAAUGCCAGCCAUGACUUGAUUUCAUCGUCGAGUUUGUUCUCAUUAACAAGAUCAACAGCAGUGUGAAGAAGUGAGCAGGAGGUGGAGACCACAAGCUUGUCUGCAAAGAAAAAUAAUAAAUUAUACAACAAAUCCCAUAAAAGAAUAAGAAAUAUUUAUCACAAAGAAAAAUGCAGGCAAAGGAUGUAUACCUUUGCCAACAACACCCUCAAGCCCCCGGAGAACACUAAGAGAAGCAGCAAGAUCAUUGGCCCAAAUGUUCCUUCCAUCAACCACUCCAGCAAAGAGGUACUUGCCAGCAGGGAAUCCACUCUUGAUCAAUUCAAGGGUCUUCGUUCCACGAACCAAAUCAAAUCCAUAAGCGGUGACACCCUUCAAAGAAGUGAGGGUCUGGAAUGCCUCAGCUGGAACAUCAGCAAAGUAGGUCUCAACAAGAACAUUCAAGCCAGACAGAGUUGACUCUAGCUCGGCAUAAGCCUCACUGAAUGCAUGCAAUUUGUGUGAGUCAAGAUCCAUAACAAGCAAUGGCUCAUCAAACUGAAUCCAGGAAGCACCAGCAGCCUUAAGCUCAGAAAUAACUUCCCUGCAGAAGUGUUAAUUGGUACAACACAGAUUAAUGAUGUCACUCGAUAUAUACACACAGAGUUAUUUAGCACAUACACAUUUAUAAAUCAGUAAUAGGUGAUAAUUUCUUACUUGUAGAUUGGAAGGAUUUUCGGAAGAAGAGAAAGAAGAGAAAAGGUCUUCGCAACACCCUUGGCAGGCUUAGACAGCAACAAGUAUGACACAGGGCCAAUAAGCACUGGGACAGUUUCAACUCCAAGCUGCAGCAUUAGACAAGUGAUCGAUAUUAGCAUCUCACAAACUUGAUCUGAUUGAUAGAAAGUUACAAGCAAGUUCAGAAUUCGUUUAAUGAAAUCUCUAUGAAAAAUCUUCAGGGUCCACAAUGUGUUGAAAGUACCCUUUUCAAGUAAUUUAUCUUAAGACUAUUUUGCAAACAGUAUUGCUUUCCUUACAGAUCAAAUAAAUCAAACAACAUAUGAACACAUUUACUGAACCAAGUCUAAGUUCAAAGCUCUAUAAAUAAAUGUCAAUGAAUCUAUAGUAAAUUCUAUUGCAUCCUAAGCUAAAGAUGAGCAUAUCAUAUAAGAAUUUCAAGGUGAACGUAACCCAAUUUCAAUAUAUUGUAGAUUCAGAUAUCAAACGAAAUAAAAUUUGUAAAUAUAGACAGAACUGAGAAUAAACACUCACCCCCUUAGCCUCCUUGUACUCAGUCACAGCCUUGUGGGAAGCGUAGGAGAACUUAACAUCGGGUCCCAAUUCAGGAACAAUGAAAUGACUGCAUCAACACGAAGCCAAACACGCGUCAGCAUUCAGUACAAAACCAUUACACCAUAAAUAACUUGAAAUGCCGCUCUUCCAAGUAGUGAAUACUUACUAGUUGGUGUCGAACCACUUGGUCAUUUCCAUAGCGGGAACAGAGGCGUUUCCUCUGGCCAUGGAGAAGUAAACAUCAAAUCCAAUCUCGCCGCCGUUCCAGUUAUACCUCGGGGGCACGGCACCGAGCAUUGCGGUGGUGUCGAGCACUUGGUCGUAGUAGGAGAAAGUGUUGCUGGGAAUGUAUUUGAUCCCGGCCUGGGACAUCUGUUUCCAGAUGGAGGAUCUGAGAUCAGCGGACACCUUUUGCAAAUCCUCAGCGCUGCUCUUGCCAUCCCAGAAGGAUUCCAACGCGAACUUGAGCUCCCUCUUGGGGCCCAUGCGUGGGUAUCCAACGAUGUGAGAUGCCAUUUUACUGUCAUAAUCACGUCAUCAAUGAAUCGAAAAUCAGUCACUUUCAUUAAAUCAAGAAAAUAUUCAUUCAAAUGGAUGGGUCAUUGCUAUUACUGCUCAAAUCAAAUGAAAUCAAGAACACUUAUCAGAGCAUAAAAUCUUAAAUUAAUUUUUUUAUAAAAAAAUAAAAAACCAGUUGAAACAAGCUGAUAAUAAUCCAAGAGUUUGAGAUGAUUUUUUUCUUUCUGUAAUCACAUGAACAAUUAUGUACUUUCAGUCAUUUUUGAAGGAUUAAAACAAAAAAUUCUACAAAUAGAUUCUGAAAAGAAGAAUCUAAAAAUAGAUUCAAAAACAGUAACACAAGUAGAGUUCAAAUUGUUUUUCGGAAAAGAUUAAUUACAGAUCUGAUUGAUUCACGUUCAGAUCUAGCAAAAUCACGGCAGCCAAACACUAGAUCUAACACUAACAGUCACUCACCAGUCCAUUAGAAAAUGAAAUCAAGUUCAAAAUUCUUUUAAAGUUAAUUCUUUUUUAGAAAAUGACCAGAUUUUAGUUGAGUAUUAGUGAGUUUUUUACAAAAUAAUUUAUUUUUGUUUUUUAGAUCCAAAAGUUCGGAAAUCAAAACCAUGUUCAAUGCUUAUUCAUGAUUAACGGCGUAAAAACGCUACUGCAGAGAAGACAUAACGAAAAUGGGAACCGUACCAAACAGAGAAAGAAGAGCAGAGAAAUUGAGAGUCGAGAGGAGAGAGAGAAGAGAGCGGCGAGUUUGGGGGAGUGCCCUCUCCGUUAUUUAUAGCCAAAAAUCAAAUCUGGUUUGGUGGUUGCCUUUGGCGUGCCAACCUGUAGAUCUGAGAUUUUUCAUCUUAAUUUCUUUCUCUUAUUUAUUUAUUUAUUUAUUAUGAUUUUCAGUGCAGUUCAUAAAAUAUAGAGCUGACGCGCGCUUUUCUGAUGUGGCGCGUGAAUUGGAAAUGCGGUAGGUCUUUGUGGGCCCCACGGCACGGUCAGGACUGAAGGAAAAAUGUGAGAAGUUAUCAUAAUUUCAACAGUGCCAUAAUUAGCAAUUACACCACCAAAUAUUUCUUGAGUUUUUUUUUUUUGAUUGCUUUAAAUGCAGAGUUGUUAUGAAUUGUGUUAAUUGUAGAGUUGUUAUGAUUAGAUUACAUUAUAAUUCGUCACAAUUAUGAUAGGUAUGUACGUAUAUAAUAAUUUAUGAGUAAUGAUAUAACCACAAACUCUUAUACAAACUUAUUUUGUACAAAUUGAUGUGGCAUGAUAAAAUUAGUUGAAUUAAAUAUUACUUGAUCCACAUGAUUUGUUAUUAUUAUUUUAUAUUUUCAUUCAACCAAUGAAUUAAUGACACGUCAGUUUGUACAAGAUAAGUUUGUACAAGAGUUUAUGGUUGUAUCAUCACUCAUAAUUUAUAUAAGAUCUCGAAUAUUUAAAAAAUUUAUAAAUCAUUAUUUUCAUGUACAUUUACCUGGUAGCAAUGACAAUAACAUAAAAUAAACUCCAAACAAGAAUGGAUUAUAUUAUUUAUGUUAUUUUAUAGCUUUUUAAUUGAUUUUUAAAAGGAUUAAUUGUUAAUCAUUACUCUCCAACCGUAAUCACCAUUAAAUAUUUAUUUAAUUUAAUAGUCGGUAGAUCAUAAAUAAGAUUAGAAUAUUUAAUGGACAAUCUAAUUGCUACUACAAUUGUUAUCAUUUUUUUAAGGUAAGGGAUUAGACAAUACUCAAAUUUAUUUUUUAACCCCUUACUCCCUAAAGAUUCGAAUUUAACUAACUAAUUAAAUAAGACUGCUUAAAAACCACUCAACCACAUCUUUUGGGGACCAAUUAAUAUCGAUGUUUAAACUGAGGUUUAUUAUUAAAUUUUUUAAGUUUCAAGUUUCAACCGCUAACAACAUUAUCAUCGAUUAAUGAUAAAUAUAAUAAUAUUUCAUCAAAAAACCAUUUAACACAUCCAUCCAUAUUAAACAUAAGUAAAAAAUUUAUCAUGCAUUUCAAAUAUAUUUUUCAUCCUAAAAGUUAUGGAGAAAAUCUUGAUAUCAAAACUUACAAUGUAAUUAUGGGAUGUAAUUUUGCAUUUGAGGUCAGCACAACUUAAAAAUUACUAUGAAUGAAAAUUUAUAAUAAGCAGACACCACAAAAAAAAAUUAUUUAUAAGUAUUACAAUCAUGCAGUUUUAUUUAAGUAUUUAACCAAGUCAUUCAAUUUCUAAUUAAGACGGUAUAAAUUAGAUUUGGGCUGCCUAAGACCAAAAGUCAAAAAAAAAAAAAGAAUAUUCCUAAUAAGCAGCCUACCGCGGUCACGCGCCUUAAGAAACGCUUGGACUUAGCACACGAUUUUAAUCCAAAAUGUAUAAAAAAGGAAAAAUUUAUGAGGUGUAUAAUUAUCUUGAGUUGUUAUAUUUUGAAGAAACAAUGAAGAAAGUUGGUGGCCGAAGUUGAUCCGGGGCGAAUGGUGGUGGGCCCACGUUGUUGCAUUAUAAUUGGAGUUAUUGUAAUUUUUCUUAUAAUUAAUAAACUCCAUUUUUCAAAGAAAAUAAAUAAAUAAAUACACUCCCGAUUACGAAAAUAUCAUUUCAUGAGUGUCAAAGUUAGAGCUGGCAAAAUUUGACACGACCCGAUUACCUGACACGAACACGACAUAAAUAAAUAAGUAUGGAUCGUCAAAUUUAACACGAUUAUUAAAUGGGUCGGGUCUGGGUCAACACAAUUUUUUUCCGUGUCGGGUUUGGGUUAAAAUUCUUGACCCAUUUACCCGAUCAAUGACCCGAUUAUAUUUUCUAUUUUAAAAUAAUUUACAUAUUCUUAUAAUUAAAACUCAAAUAUUAGAGAUAUUUUUUUUAUUCUUUAAAAUGGUGAAUAUAAACACAGUGUUUUAUUUAUAAAAUUUUACAUACAUUUAGAGCUUCAAUAGUGUAAAUGUGUAAAAAUUGAUAGACAUGUAUAUUUUAUAAUAUUGAUAUAUAAUAUUAUAUAUAUAUAUAUAUAAUUAAAACCUCAAUAGUGUACAUGUGUAAUAUAUUGGUAGAUAUGUAUAUUUUAUAAUAUCGAUAAAUUAUGUAUGUAUGUAUUUAUGUACAUACGUAUGUAUGUAUUUAUGUAUAUACGUAUGUAUGUAUUUAUGUACAUACGUAUGUAUGAUAGUGUGUAAAUAUUUUAUGUAACUUUUGUUCAAUAUAUAGAUAUUAAACGGGUUAUUGGGUAACCCGAUUGUUUUUCCGUGUCGGGUUUGGGUCUCAAUAUUUUGACACGAUUAUUAAAUGGGUCGGGUUUGGGUCGACCUAAAUUUGACACGACACGACACGAACACGACCCGAUGACCCGUUUUGCCAGCUCUAGUCAAAGUGACCGUCACCUACGCAUCGCGUUUGUUGGGCGGGGUGGGUAAGGUGGGGCGAGGAGUUUGUUUGAUCGUCUGAUUACUUUGAUUUUGAUGAAACGUAUGGACGACGGCGAUGGCUUGCCAGCAAGUGGGUUUAUCAUGAUUUUGAUUGUAUUCGGGGAGAUGCUUAUGUAUAUCCUCAAAACUUCUUGGAAAUGAAAACCGCUGGGGUGGCAAAUCUUGACCAAUAAAGUGUGCGUGAUGUUGCGUUUAUAAAUUUCAAUAAUACUAUUGGCCGAUUGAGAUUAUUUUUAAAAAGUUUAAAAAUAAUUUUUAAAGGUUAAAUGUUAAUUUUAAUAUUGAAUAAAUUUUUAAAAAUUAUUUUUGAUAAAAUCAUUUUAUCCUCCAAUAAAUUUUAAAAAAUAGCGAUACAGUAAUUUUUUAAAAUCUAAUUUUAAUAAUCAAAACUAUUUUUUUAUAUAAUUUUAUAGAUAUCCGCAUAUAUAUAUUAUAAAAAUUCGAAAUCAUUAUUAUUAAUUAGGAAAUAAAAUCAUUAACUUUUAAGAAAUUAUUAUUAUUACCAAUUAUACUGACAUAACAAAAUAAAAAAUUAAUUAAUAUUAUAAAUAUUUAUUUCAGUUAUCAACUAUUAUAUAUACACAAUAAAAAAUAUUUUAUAUACAUAUUUAUAAAUGUAUAAAUAAUUUUUAUUCAAUAUUAUAUCGAAUUAAUCAUUUACAUUCUUGCAACAAGUUAACAAUAAAAUUUACCAAACACAUACGAUUGUUUUUAAAACUCAUAUUAUUUUUUUAAAAAAAAAUUACUAAACCUUUAACUGAUUCUCUUACAACUGAUUAUUUCUACAGUACAAUUAACAACAAUUAUUUUAAAAACUAUAACAUUUUCAAACUAGCCCCAUGACAAUAUUGUUAUUGUUGUUUUUCUUACUCUUAUCAAUAAAACUACGUUGCACAUAAGUGCAUAAAAAUUCACACAAAAUAAACUAUUUAACUUUAGGGUAUUAAUUGAAAAAAAAAAUCAGAUUAAGGUGAAUAAAUAUCAGAAAAUAACAAAUAGAUAAACUCUCACACUCUUUAAAAAAAUUAAUUUUAUAAUUUUAUUUAAAACCAACAGAUAUUACCAAACUUAACGGAUCAAUGUUCCAAUGUUUUCUUUUUAAUUUCAAAACCAACAGAUAUUCUUUGUUCAUUAUAUGACCUCCAAACAAAUAAUUUCAUUAAUAAAAUAAUAAUGAAAAGUAUCGUGGUGAGUACAGAGUAAUUCGGUGGCUAAUAAAAGUCUCUAUUUUUCGUCUCUGUUUUUCAUUUUAACUCUUGGGGUUGGUGCCACUUCGGCCUUGGUCGGAGUGGUGGGCUGCUGCCCUCACAAGUAUUGUGAGGACAGUGGUUCAAGCCCCCACAAAUAUUUUUGUGGGGGCUAACGUACUUAUUUAUUUAAUAUUUCAAAAAUUUCUUCUCCCUCGUGCAAUACGAGUGGAGUAUGGACAUCCCUCCUCUAUAAGGGAUUAUUUGUCUGGGCAUGUACUUCACAGAAUUCAAUGUAAUAAUAUAAGUCUCAAUCAUAUAUUUUUGAUUGUAAAUAUCAAUAUAAUAUAUCUGCUAUAAUAGCAGUUGUAAAUAUCUGUGUAAUGCAAUAAUAUGAUAAUUAAUCAUUAUUCAAAAAAAAAACUCUUGGGGUUGGUAGGCUCGUGAAUGGUCCACGUAACCUCUGGACGUAACACUCAAACAAAGACAGCACAAGGCACAUGAAAAAUGCCUAAAAACCGUAAAACCGUGACGUGUUCAACAUAUUAAUAAAUUUAUACUGUGUUUUCUUUUUUUUUUUAAUACUGUGUUGAUAAAGCACUUACGAUGGAACGACCAAUUCUAUUACUUGCAAAACUAAUUAAUAUUUCACUCUAUCAUCUAACUAAUGGAAGGCCAUCUUAAUUGAGGUUGCAAUAGUUAGAAAGUAGCGGGAAGGGUGGCCAAUGCUCCAUAUUAAUUUGCAUCAAUCCCUUUCUGGUGAAGAAGUACGGGUGAAGUAGAGGUCAAAGUUAGAAGAUGAAGGGUGUGUUUGGGAAUUGAGAGUGAGGUGCUGUAGUUUUUUAGCUGCAGUUGCUGUGAAAUAAAAGUUAUAACUGUGGAAUAGAAGUUGAGAAAAAAAAUUUGUUAAGCUGCCAAAGCCCAGUUACAAAUGUUACCAAACACCUUAGUAGCUAGGCUUUGGCAGCCCAUCUACCCCAUCACACUCCCAAACGGAUUAGAAGGGGACCGGGAUUGCUUUGUCAUAUUUGAAAAUGAUUUUGAAAAAAUAAAAAUUAAGUUCAGAAUUUGGUAAAUUCCUUUAAAAUUUCUUUUAGCAAAAUCACUCUCUCCUUUAGAUUUUGAAAAGUAUGGAAUGAGUAGUUUUUUAAAAUUUAAUUUUGAAAUUCGGAUUCAUAUUUAAUAUAAUACCAUAUAUCAUAACAUGUAUUAUAAAAAUCUAAAAUUAUCCUUAUUCAAUCAAUUAAGAAGUAAAAUCUUACAUUUAAAGAUAUUAUCAUUAUCAAUUAUAUUUAGAUAAUAAAAAAUACAAUUAAUAAAAUAAAAAUAUUUAUUUUAGUUAUCAAUUAUUAUAUAUAUACAUAAAAUGUAAUUAUAUAAACAUAUUUAUAAAUGUAUGUGUAAAUUAAAUUUGUAGAUUUAUGUUUAUAUAGAUCAUUUGCAUUCUUAUCACAUUUUAAAAGUGAGAUUUAUUAAAUAUAUAUAUGAUUAUUUUUAAAAUUUACAGCACUUUUUAAAACAAAAGUAUCAAAAGUUUAAUUGAUUCCUUAUUUUUACUGUACAACUAACAGUAAGAUGUGUUUGGUUCAAGUAUAAAAUGAUGGGAUUGGACAAUUUUAAGAUUAAAUAAUCCUAAUGCAAUGUUUGGUACCAAAAAUAAUUGUGGGAUAAAAAUAGUGGACCCCACCAUUUAAUCCAACACAAUGUCAAAAUUUUAUCACAAAGGGGGGUGUGGGAUAAGCUAAAACUUAAACGUAGGAUAACAAAAAAAAAGCCCAAAAUUUUAUACAACACAGUGAUUUUUUUUUUUUUUUGAGUAUGUCAUCAUCCAAUGAUAGUAUAUAUGCCAGAACACUCUUUUGACGUUAAUGAUAUGUAAUAUUUUCAUAUAUACAGCUAGUGACAUUGUUAUGUAAUUUCUUUUUCAUUUAUAGAUUUAUAUUAUUAUUAUAUUUGUUGAUGAUAUUCUUGUUAUGUUUAUAAUUAUAUUAUUUAGUAAUUUAUAAGUUUAAAAACUAUAACAUGUUAAAUAUAAGAAAAACUUUAAGCGAAGAUUUUGUAUUUUUUAACAAAUUUACCAAUAAUUUUUUAUUUAAGUUAGAUUAUAUUCCAUGUCAUUUUAAAAUAAAUCUAAGAUAAUUUUGAUAAAUUAAUAAAUAAGACAUAUUAUUAGUUACUAACCAAUUUCAUGGCAUACCAAACAUGAGAUAUGAUUAUUUACAGUCUAAUCCAACAUUGCACCAAACGUAAUAGAGUAUUAUAUAUAAUCCAAUGUUAUCAAAUCCAAUCAUAUCUUAUCCAAUCCGAUCCGAUCCAGUCUAAUCCAAUUUGACAUACCAAACAAGCCCUAAUUAUGUUAAAAACUACAUCAUUACCAAACUGACCCUUAAUACAAUCUCAUACAUACAUACAUAUAUAUAUAUAUAUUAAAAAUUAAAAAUUAUCUUUAUUUAGUUAGGAAAUAAAACCAUUAUAUUUAAAUAGAUUAAUAUUAUUACUAAUUAUAUUCAGAUAACAAAAUUAAUAAAAUAAAAAUAUUUGUUUGAUUUAUCAAUUAUUAUACACACAUAUUUAUAAAUGCAUGCGUAAAUAAAAUUUUAUAGAUUUAGGCCAAGGCGGAUGUACGGUACAGCAGUAUCUUUAUUUAGUUAGGAAAUAAAACCAUUAUAUUUAAAUAGAUUAAUAUUAUUACUAAUUAUAUUCAGAUAACAAAAUUAAUAAAAUAAAAAUAUUUGUUUGAUUUAUCAAUUAUUAUACACACAUAUUUAUAAAUGCAUGCGUAAAUAAAAUUUUAUAGAUUUAUGUCUAUUUAAAUCAUUUGCAUUCUUAUAACAUUUUAAAAAAAGAAAAGAAAAGUGAUUUACCAAAUACAUGUAAUUGUUCUUCAAACUUACAACACUUUUAAAAUAGAAUUUAAUAAAUGUUUAAUUAAUUUUUUCACAGCUGAUUAUUUUUAUGGUAUAACUAACAAUAAUCUAUAAACUUAUGGUAAAUAUUUGUGUGAAUGUUGGUCCAUGUAAAGAAGUAAAAACAACGCAUAUAUCAAGCAAUAAGAUAUCAAAACUCUUAGUAAAAUACAUAUACUAAUGAAAGAAUGACAGCAAUGCAAUAAAUAAGAUUAUAAUAUAAAUUAUUAAAAUUGUAUAUUAAAAAUUGAUGUAUGAAAUUCUUUUUAUUUUAGUGAUAGAUAAUGUGAUAUAUUUGAAUAAUUUGAUUAAAUGAAAAGAAAAAUAACAAGUAUGGUUGUGGAGGAAAUAAACCAUUGAACUGUGGAAUGUUAUUAAUUAUUGCUAUUUCAUUAUGUAACGUCCUGAUAAUAAGUACAGUGUUAUAGUAUAUUGAUGGGUGGUGAUAUUGUCACCCCUUAAAUUGUGUAAAGUCAACCUCAUUUACAAAUUUUUUGAUAUAAAUUAAAAAGUACAUUAGUUUUAAUAAAUUAUAUAUUUAUUGAAUAAACUAGAACCGUUAGGGAGCUGUAAUGUUAGCACUGUUUUAACUUAUUAUAAAAAAAAAAGUUAUGAUUUGAUCAUAACUCUAAUUUAGAAAAGAAAAAAGAGUUGAAUUGCUAACAUACUUAAAAAUAAAAUAAAAACAUUAUUAUUAGAUGAAAAAUUGUAAAACUUAAGGGGGCAUUUGCAAGUCCGCCACUACUCAAUAGAGCAUUAUUCAGUACUCGUUAAUAUAUCUCGAACUUUUAGGUUUUUUUAAUAUAUUUUUAAUACAUUUUCUAGAACAUUUAGAUAAAAAGAGUCAGUACUCCAAUUGAGUUGUGAAUAAACAUUUAGAUAAAAAGAGUCAAUACUCCAAUUGAGUUGUGAAUAAACUCAUGUUAAAAAAAAAAAAACUCAUUUUCACACUUGAAACGAUUAGUAAAUGGGUGAUACGAAUUUAACUUGGUCAAUAAUAUAUACCAUCUUAAGUUAACUUCAACUCAUUGAUCUUCUAUAGGGUUGAUCAGCCUGCCACAAGGCCCACAAAUUAUCACCUCUAAUGCUUUUGCAACAGUCGUUAUAAAUGCUGACAAAAUGAAACUUCUAUAUAUUUUGGUUUUUUUUUAUUUCUAUGAAAUAUAAGGCCCUUAUGGCAAAUUUCCAUCCAGCGUGAAAUUUGCUAGUUUGGCCUUGGUACUGUGGCACAUGCGUCAUGCAUGCGUGGCUGAGAUGCUUCUAAAACUAAUAAAUUAUGAAGAAUUCCAAAUUCGUACCAAAAAUAAGAGAAUAGGAGCUUGUCAUAGGUGUCCGCGGAUCGGAUUUUAUGGGUUAAACAUUAAUUCAUAUUUGAUUCGUGAUUUUGUAGAUUAUAAAUUUUUAAUUUAAUUCAAUUUAUGGAUUAGUGAAACUCAAUACAAAUUCAAUCCAUAUAUAUGCAAAUUAGAUGCGGAUUUAACCCAAUGCAUAUUCAAUCCAUCAUUUGGCGGAUUGAUUUGCAAAUUAAAAGUUUUUAAUUUUGUCCAAUCUAAAAAGUAAUUAAAUUAAAAAAAUCUAAUAUAUAAAUAAUUGAUUAAAUAAAAAAAUCUAAUGUAAAAAUAAUUUUACUACCAAUUAAAUUCAAAAUUGAACAAGAUUUAAAUAAAUUUAGAAUAAUACAUUCAAAAUUUUAAAAUAUAACACACCGAAAAAAAAAUUCAUUUAUUUAGAUCAAUACAUGAAAAUUAACUAAAAUUAUGAAUUUAAAUGUUGAAACUUGAAAGCUUGGAUGUAACAGGAAGAAUUUAAGAAACUUGAAGAGCUUGAAAAGAAAGUAAGAAAUUAAGUUUAAUUACCUCAAGUGGUGAAGUGAAACAGUGAUUGGCUUGUGCGUGCGGUGGGAUAGAGAUUUGGUGUUAUAUGUCAAAAUAUUUUGUUUGGCUUGGGGUUUUUGUUUUGCUUUAGAAAUUUUAAUGUUUAGGAAACUAUAUUUGCUUAUUUAAUUAUUUCUUAUUUUAUAUUGUUAUCGAAUAAAAUAUAAUAUUUUGUUAAUUUAGCUAUAAUUUUAUGCUGAAUAUAUUUAUUUAAAACGAUUUUAUUAAAUAAAUGUGCAUAUUUAACGAAGGUCUCUGAAAUUUCAACCUGCCUGCUAAUGAUAGCCAAUACGGCACGACCCACCAAAUGUCGGCCCACGCGGGCUUGUGGGCCAUGACGACUUUUUUUGUAAGGGCCCGGCACGGCCCACGGCACGAGUCCGUGCCCAAAAAAAGCCCACCUACCUUUUUUUUUUUUGUCCACAUGUUCAGCGUGCCUAAAAAAACCCACGUGCCUGACGUGCUUUUUUAAGCCCACCAGCCUAAUAGUAACAACAACAACAACAAUAAUAAUAAUUUCAUAGAAAUAAUUAAUGAAAAAUAAAAUAACAAUUCUAGAAUAACAAUUACAUCUAAUUUUAUUUGAACAACUAAUAUUAUAAUUGCACAUAAACUCUAUUGAAUGAAAAUGUAAUUUUUAAUUUAUUAUAAAAAUAUUUUGUUCAUAAUUUUAUUUUUUUGUGCGUAAAUAUGAAAAAUAUUUCAUUCACAAAUGAAACAUAUCUCCAUUAACUAUUAACUAAGUUAUGAUUUCAUAAAUGAAAUAUUAAUGUCGUAAAAUUUUUUAUUUAUCAUUUAUAAAAUCAUGAUAUUUAUUUAUCCAUUUAAUAAAUUAUAAACAUAAAAAAAUUAGAAUACUUAUUUAAACUAGGACUUAAAUUAAUUUUAAAAAGCCUAUACUAAAAAAAUAUAUUAAAAUUUUUAAUUUCAAGGUAUUUAUAAAAUCAUGAUAUUUUAUAUUUAUUUUUCAUUAAAAAAUUUUAUUUUGAUAUACUUUGGCCCACGUGCUAUUGGUGGCCCACGGGCCGCGUGCUUAGCCCACCAAUAAAGUGUGCUUAUUACAUGCCUUUUCGCGUGCCGUGUUUUGCCCCAUCUCUAAUCAUACCGUGCUUUUAAGGCCUGCGUGCCUAAAAUUCUAGGCCCGCCAGCCGUGCCGUGCCGUGCCGUGCCUCGUGCCGCCUGGCCCAUUGGCCAUCCCUACUGCCCGCCAACCACAUUUGUCCAAGAUCAAUUUGUAGGAAAAAAAUUUGAAAAUCAAUAAUUUAUUUAAUUAAUUGUUAAUGUAGGCAUUUGAAUCCCCACAAAAUCUGGGUGUCAGUUCUAGACUUCUGGUGAUAUAUUUUUCUAAUUAAGGAAUAAAAUAUUUUUGUCAUUUUUUUAAUAUUUUAAUUUACCAGGCAUAUCAACUAAUUAAUUUUUCUACUUAGACUAUUAAUUCAUUACGUGCGCAAUCUGUAGCCCGGCGCUCCAAUCCCAUGCAUGUUACACACAACUCAAUCAUUAUUUAUUUAUUUAUUUAUUUUGACCAACAACUCAAUGUUUUUUAUAGAGCUGUCAAAAUUUGACACGACCCGAUUACCCGACACGAACACGACAUAAAUAAAUGGGUAUGGGUCGUCAAAUUUAACACGAUUAUUAAAUGGGUCGGGUCCGGGUCAACACGAUUUUUUUCCGUGUCGGGUUUUGGGUUAAAAUUCUUGACCCAUUUACCCGAUCAAUGACCCGAUUAUAUUUUCUAUUUUAAAAUAAUUUACAUAUUCUUAUAAUUAAAACUCAAAUAUUAGAGAUGAUUUUCUUUUUUUUUAUUCUUUAAAAGGGUGAUAUAUUUUAUAAUAUCGAUAAAUUAUGUAUGUAUGUAUUUAUGUACAUACGUAUGUAUGAUAGUGUGGAAAUAUUUUAUGUAACUUUUGUUCAAUAUAUAGAUAUUAAACGGGUUAUUGGGUAACCCGAUUAUUUUUCCGUGUCGGGUUUGGGUCUCAAUAUUUUGACACGAUUAUUAAAUGGGUCGGGUUUGGGUCGACCUAAAUUUGACACGACACGAAACUGACACGACAUGAACACGACCCGAUGACCCGUUUUGCCAGCUCUAGUUUUUUAAUAUGAAAAGGUAUUGGUUAGCUUUGUCUUUAGUUUUUUCAACUUAUAAUAAGUUUGUAUUAAGGCUCCCUUUGGUACAGAUUUUCAAGUAAAACUUAUUUAGGGUUAUUUUUAGGGACCUCCCCUGAGGUUUGGUGUAUUAACAAUCUGAUAGAAAGUAUUCACGUAAUUACAAAGACCUCCCCUGACAUUUGUAUUAUGUUAAGUGGACUGUUAUUGACUAUUGAAAAUCCAAAAAUACCCUUCCUGCCAAAAUAUUUCUUUAUUCACUGAUGAACUGAUGGGUAAUUCGUGCCAAAAUCACAAAUUACUUAAGAAGAUGAAAAUAUCCAUUGGAUAAAAAAAAUGAAAUUGCUUAAUAAAAAAAUUGACAUUGCAUAAUAAUAAAAAAAAUUGAAAUAAUGUGCGGCGGCAUAGCUGCAUCUUGCAUGCAUAUUAUUAUUGUGAUUUUUUUAUUACAAACUCCAUCCUGCAUGCUUAUUAUUAUUGUGAUUUUUUUUAUUACAAACUACUUCAUAACUAAUACAUGCCACAAGAGCAGAGCUAUUAAAAGAAAUGAUUUUCAUAUUGUAAACUUGAUAGUACAGGUGUUGGCACCGACCAUAAAACCCUUAUGAUACCAAUCUUUGCUCCAUCCAUAUUUAAAUCCAGAUCAAGUAAAUAUUAAAUUGGAUUUCAGGUCCUGAAAAUCCCACUCUAUAAUUGAUAUCUUCGAGUUUUGUUGGUGCCUCAAACCUGGAUCUAGAGCAUCAUCUCUGUCAUACUCGGAACACCUAAACUAAUGGACUUGCUGCAGCUGCUUAUUCUUCUUCUGAAAUGAUGCACGCAGAUAGAUUACAGACUUUGAAAUAAGAAAUACAAUAAACAACAUGUAAUCGAACUUAAGAUUUCGGCAAACUUGUUUGAAAAUUAGAAUCAAACAAGGAAAAUGGCAAGUCAAUAUUUUUUAAUCUAGAAAAAGGGCAAUUUCAAAGUUUAUCACAUGCCAAAUUCAUAGUCUUGCAUCCACUAUUUUCUAGUUUGAAUAACAAACAAAAGCCUUAGACAAAAACACAGAGAACAUCUCACAUGGGAGCAAAAAUUGUGUGUAGAACAAUAUACUUAAGUUACAUGUGAUUACAAUCACAUUAUUUAGCAAAUACAAAAUUACCUUCUCAAAAAAAAAAAAAAAAAAAAAAACACCACCAAAUUAUUGAAGGUAUUACAACAAUAAGGCAAAAGAACACCAAAGGCAUGCACAAACCGAAACUAACACACAACUCAAUUAGUGUCAUGACCCCAAACUGAACAAUCAUAUAAACCAUUGUGGGCUCUCUAAAAGAUUAUCACAUUAUAAGCAAACAGAAACCUAUAUUUGAUGAACUACAUCUAGUACUUACACAACUCUUAAAUCAUUAGGAAAUUGCUCUUAUCAGUCAUUACCCAAUAGUUUUUUUCAACUCAACACUAACAACCCCAAAGAGAAACAACAUCCAGCACCAUUUUCAUUAAUUAAAACAGACCCAUUGUUAUUUUUAAUCAAUAAAAUAACAACAAUAUCGUGUAAGCCACUGAUUCAAGCAUUCAAGCUGUGUUUUCGAAGACUGACCUCUUCUUGCUAUCUAAUUCCAGUCACGAUAGACGCUAGAUGCCGGCAAUACUCGCUUCUUGGAAGCUCUGGACCACCGCACGACGUCAUCUUGUGCAGUAGAUGAAAAUAAAUCAAUGAUUUCAGAAAUUAUUUGUGAGUUGCAGACGCUUCUUCUCCAUGGAUGAAAAUGAUGGUGGGUUUUGUUCAAGUGUAAGCUGUGUUUACGAGGAGAAGUACACUUUGUGAAAAAAUCAUUUUCUUUCAUCUACUGGAUAAUGACUUUGGACUGGGUAAUGGUGUGUUUAAGUCUCUAUUUCACGGACAUUGAAGCAUAUUUUGCUUGAAUUUUGAUUUUGUUUAAAUUUCAAGUUUACUUUUACUUGUUUACCCUUUUAUACUGACGCUUAUGUAUUUUUAUACUAACGUUAAGGGAGGUCUUUGUAAUUAUAUGAAUACUUUCUAUCAGACUGUUAAUACAACAAACCUCAGGGGAGGUCCCUAAAAAUAACCCAACUUAUUUAAAUAGAACUUUUACAAAAAAAAAUUUAGUUAUUUGGUUGUCAAUAAACUUUUCAAGUAUACUUUGUUUGGUACAGCUUUUCAAGUAAAACUUAUUUAAGUAGAGCUUUUACAAAAAAAAAAAAAUUAGUUGUUUGGUUGUCAAUAAAAAUUUUUAUUAAAAAAAAUAUGAAAUUACUUUAUUAGUCAAGUUUUUUUAAAGUUAUGCUAUGAAAAGAAUAAAAUAAGAUUGUCAAAUAAAUAGAAAAUAUUUUAAAUAUUUUAACAUUUAAAAAAACUUUUUAACCUUUAUUUUCAAAAAUCUAAAAUUUAAACUUUUACUAGUAAAGGCAAAAUAAUUUAUUUAAACUUCAAAAGCUUUAUUAGAAAAAUAAUCAAACAAUAACAAAAAUUAUUAUAAAAGCUUAUCGAAUUAAAUAAGUACUUAUAGUUAUUAAAGAAGUUAUAUCUAACAGACACUAAUGCCGAAAGCCCCUUCUAAUUGUGGGUGUAAAAGUUUGAAUUAUGCAUACGGUUAAGGAGUUAAGGUGUGUUUGGCAACUGCAUUAAGUGGAAAUUUUUAUUUUGUUUCGAAUAAAAAUACAGCAAGCUCGUGUUCGGCUCAAAAUAAUGGAACGUUUAAUUUGCAACCGUCGGCGGACGAAGCACACCGUUCACGGCCCUUCGUAUAAAAUUGCAUAUGUAAACGUAAAUAGGUCCGGAUUCAGAUUCGUUGCUGUAGAGAGUGGCACGCACGAUCGGGCUGCUGUCGGUGGUAGGUUGGCAUUGGAAUUCUCAUCACGCGCUUCCCCAGGCGCCUACUUAUGGCAAAUUGACACGUGACGCGUGUGGAUUGAAUGGACAGAGUCCCGGGCAGUGUGUCCAAAGCUGCCAACCGUGCUCUGAUUUUUGUCAUCCAUAAUGGCUAACGACUAACGAGGGAGAUUUCCGGGCAGAAAGAAAUUGUUGUCGUUUCUGAAGGGGAAAAAAAAGUUAUUUAAUUUGUUGUUGAAGACAAAAUGAAGAUCUAAAUAAAUAAUGGCUAAUUUUGAGUGUAAAGCAACGGUAAAUGCAUUAUUAAAUUAGAUUUAGGGUCUGAUUGAGAUUAUUUUUAGAUUUAAAAUUAAUUUUGAAAAGUUAAAAUUAAUUUUGAUGUUUAUUAAUUUUUAUUAAAAAUUAUUUUUGUCAAAAUCUCUCAUCCUCCAGCAUAUUAUAAAAAAUAAGGAAGAAAUAAUUUUUUAAAAUUUAAUUUUAAGAAUCAGUUUUAUACUUAAUAUAAUCCACAUAUAUCCUCGUAAAUAUUAUAAAAAUUUAAAAUUAUUCUUAUUUAUUUAGGAUAUAAAAUUAUUAAAUUCAAACAUAUUAUUAUUAUUAUUAUUAUUGUUAUUAUUAUUAUUAUUAUUAUAAAUUCACACACGCACACACAUACUUAUAAAUUUAUAAAUAAACUUUAUUUAACAUUUUGUUCACUUAAAUCAUUUAUAUUCUUAUAGCAGUUUAACAUUAUGAUUUACCAAACACAGAUAAUUAUUUUUAAAAUCCAUAAUAUUUUUUAAAAUAAAUUUUAAUAAAUGUUUAACUUAUUAUUCUGACAACUGAUUUUUUUUGUAAGGUAUAACCAUUAAUAAUAAAUAUUUUAAAAGUUACAGUAUCCCCAAAUUGGCCCUUACUAAUACUCUGCGUUGCCAACUAAAUACUAAUUGUAACAUUAAACAUCUGGAAUAUUUUUCUCUAACGAAACAACACAAUUAAUUUCCCUCUAAAAAAGAAAAAGAAAAAGAAAAAAUAAACUACCAACCCCACCCCUUUAGACAGCAGAGUUUUAGCUGAGGCGGCUUGCUUGCAUAAGCAUUAAGGCUGCUCUUCACCAACCAUUGAACAUUCUUUCCAUUUGAUUGUUACACUUUACUUCGCCAUCUCAUGUCCAUGUACAUUGUUUUGAAAUGAAGACUUUGCGUACAACUAAUCUUUUUCAAUUCAUAAUAAAAACUCUUUUAAUUAGUUAAUAGCUAUAGCUUCCAAUUGAGACUAUAUAUAAAAAUCCAUAUUGACUGACCAAACCAAUAAUUUUUAAUUGGCUUGAGCAUUGUCUUACUUACUUCAAAAUCGUCACUCUCUUUGAAAAGAACAUGAGAGAGUUCACCUCCAUCUCAACCCUUAACCCUAUAUCUCAGUCAAGAGAUUAUUCAUGGAAAAUUCAGAAAAAAGAAAUGUUGCAAUAUUUACGAAACUCACGUCACGUGAGGUAAGAUAAAUUAUUCCUUUCUGCUUUAAUUCAUGUACAUAAUCAUGAGAAUAACUUUAAUUAUAGUUUAUUUCUCCGUUUUAAGAUUUUUCCUUUUUUUUUUUUAAUUAAUUAAUUAUAGUUCAUUCAUUAAUCCCAUAAGAAAUUAACACCUUUGCCGGUAAAGUCACACAUACAACAAUAUUUUAGAACAAAAGGGAAGAUCAUGCACGAUCAUGAUGUUUUAUUAUAUCUCUAGCAAUAUAAUUAUCUUAUAAUUAAUUAAAAACAAAACAGGUAAUUAAGCCAAAGUGGAUGGCAUGCAUCAAUCAUCAUGCAGAACACCUCCCCUUGUUUUAAAUAUAAAUAAAAGAAAUUUGUGCCCAGAAGACUUAAUUAAUACUUCUCGUUUCUGAAGUGCUCACAUGAUAUAUAGUCGGACGCAUUAUAUUUAAUUUCAUGAAUUAAUCGUACGGUUGUAUUUUGAGAGAGAGAGAGAGAGAGAGAGUGACUGAGUAAGAUAUGGCUUAAUUUAACCAAAUCUACGUAUAAAAUUUUAAAAUGAAUUUUUGAGUUUUAACUUAGGAAUUGUCUAUGAAUAAAAGUGUUAAUCAAAUAUUUCGUGUAAAAACAGUCAGCUGUAACAUUUUCGGUUGCUUUAACAAAACUGUAUAUUUCUGUAAUUUCCUAUAUGGGCCAAAAGGAACAUUUUUCUCAGAAAUUAAAAACUUAUGGUGAAAAAGAUAAGAAAACCAACAGGUUCAAAGGUGCGAGUAAACUGGGCUCUGGUGCGCCCAACUCCCUCUUUUGAUUUUGAGACUCUAUUGACCAUUGAGUUUGAGGCCCCAACGGCCCAGUUUAAAACUGUUAUGAAAAGAAAAAAAAUAUAACUAUAAAAUUAAAAUUAAUAAUGUUUGAUAAAUAUAAUUUUUAAAUAAUAAUUUGACAAAAAUAAUAUAGGGUCUUGUGUAUAUUUUUAUUUGGCAUUUCAAUUAAUCUGCUUAUAUAUAUAUAUAUAUAAGUUAAUCUAUAUUUCUUGCAAGAAGAUAGUAUUUCUUUAAUUAAAGUCAUAACUAAUAUAUAAAUUAUCAACUAACCAUCAAACAUUUAUCUCAUUUUAUCUCCACCACGAUCAUCACCAUUCAUCCUGUCACGAUCUUUAUGUAACUACAAUUAUUUUUUCUUUAAUAAUGUCAACCCACCAACCCCAUAACAAUAUCUCCAAACAUCUCAUCUCAAAAUUCCUAAUAACAUAAGUGUUUAUGUAUGAAAGAAAAUGUGAAAUAUAUAAUCAAAAAGUAGUUUAAUAAUAUAAUGUUUAAAAAUUAUGGUAAAAAUAAGUGAGAGUUUGGCAUGGCAAGUUAAUAAAAAGAUAAAAGCUCGGACACUUGAUGCAUCAAAGUAGCAAUGUCUGUCCAUCAUUAUCAUCAUGCGGGUUUAGGUGCUUCUCAUGAUAGCAUUAGCUGGUAAGACCAUCAUGCAUCGUACUUUCAUUGUUAUACAUUUUGAAGGUAAGAAUGGUUAUGUUACGUCCCUCCGAUUAGGUGUAUUUUUCUUCUUCUUCUUCUUCUUUUUCUUCUUCUUGUACGUAAUAAUUUCUCUUUCUUCCAUGAAGAUUUCUUUCUCUCUUUCUUUUUUUUUUUUUUAUUAUAAAUAAAAUGAUAAGAACUAAUUUCCUUACUAAUUGGUAGGGUCGUUUAAUGGUUCAGAUCCAUUAGAUUUUGUCAAAUUCAAGUCCAAUCCAUCAUAUAUUCCAUUUUAUAUUCCGGAUCCGAUCACUAAUAGAAAUCCAUUAUAAUUUAAAACAAUAAAACGUCGAAUCCAAUUUAAUUCGAUAUGAUCAAUCCAAUUAAAAUAAAAAUUUACAAAUAAAAAUCAUUAGUUGCUCUCUCCAGUUAUAAUUCUUAACAAUUAAAAAAAAUACAAAAUAUCAACUCCUUUAAUAUUUCAUGAUUCAUGUACUUUAUUAUCAUAUGGUUGGAAAAAAAAGUUGAAAUUUGAAUAUUAAAAGCAAAUGUUGGUUGCGACCUGCUGUUUGUAUUCUAUAUUGUUAUAGUAUAUUUAUAGUUAUUUUUUUAGCAAGUUAAAUAUAAAAGUGACAUAUAGUUUUUUUUUAUAAAAAAAAAUAAAUAAAGAAAAUAAAAAAUUAAUUGGUUGGAUUGGUUUAUAUUGGAUUUGAACAUAUAGAUCCAUAGACCAAUCUAAUAACAUUAUAUUUUUUAUUUUGCAAUCUUAUCCAAUCCAAUCAAAAUGUCAAUAUGACAAAAGUUGGAUUGGUUUUGAUCAGAUCGAUUGGUUUGAUUGGAUUGAAUUGAAUUAGAUCUUGAACAUCCUACCAAUUAGACUUUCCGUGAUUUUUUUUUUUCCAAAUUUAAUAAAGAGACUUCCCAUGAAUGUUAAAUGCAGUUUUAUUGAUGAAUUCUGCAAUUUUAAGAAAUGUUUGAUACACGAAUAAUGCAUCUCAUCAACCAAGUAACUGCGUCCCCUGCAGCAGCCGCGGCUUCAACUGGAAUACUGCAGCCACACCGGUCUUGAGACUCAACAUUCGGCCGAAACUCAAGCAAAAGUUGAACAAUAUCAGGCCUGCUUUGAGCUAUAGCAAUAUGAAGCAAUGUUUGUCCCUGCGCACCAGCAGAAUCAGCUGGGUGGGUUCCAAGCAGGGUCACUCUGUUCAAGAACCUCUCUUAUCUCAUCCAUUUCACCAUCCUUAACUAGCUGAACCACAACAUGGGACCCAACAAACAUGAUCUUGAUUCCUAUUGAUGAACGCUGGCUUCUUCCUUCUUGUGAACCAGUCACCAGGAACCGAAUCAAGCAUCAAUGUUGCAUCUUUAAUUGCAGCUGCAGGAACGACAACGCUAUGCAAGAGGAAGGAAUCAUCACAGUGAGGGAAAGUAUGAAGGAGAACUGAUCCUGGAGGAAGAUGAUACGCAAUCUCUAUGCUUACUGUUCCGAGUGGUUGCAUUGACCUGAAUAGUUCGAUCUAUUUCUCGUGUAUCUACUUGCGCUGCACUUUCACUCGAAGAACCUACAAAAUUAUUCAUAACCCGGCAUAAAAAAGACGUAAAGUUUUCAGCGCGAGCAUGGUAACUUCAAAACCCGUUUCAUACCUAUCAUAUUUCAUUCGUCCCGCACCCUCAUUUAAAAGACUAGAGCUUAUAAAAACUAGAAGUACCUUACCCAGAACAUAAAAGCAGACAAAACCCAGUCGAGUAUAAAUAUAACGUUGAAUAACACCUACCAUUUACCAUUUCAUUCAAGAACACCACACAAUUAACGAAACCAACAUCGGUAUGUUUUCAGCCGUUGUACUUUCAACUUAAUUUUGAAAGCGCGGCAGCUAAAGCCUAAACUGUUGUUUGAUAAAAGUCCACCCACUGACUGCUACCUGGCGGCUACCGAUUCCAUUCAAUAGCAGUCAUAAAAUAAAAAGUACAAAACAAACCUAUGUACAAAAAAGGCAAUGAAGCAGCCAUGGAUUCAGUUAUUUGCAUGUUUGGGAUUGUGGUUGAUUCCAAAUUGAGAAUAUACUGCGAAAUUAUGUUUGAUAAGCAUUUAUCUGAUGAUUGCUACUUUAUUGAGUGCCUGUUUGGUAUGGCUUAUUUAAAAGCCAUAAGUGCUUAUUUAAUCGUAUAAGCACUUUUUUAAAAUUUUUAUGGUGUUUGGUUAUUUUUUUAGUAGAGUUUUUUUAGCUUAAAUAAGCUAAUUUACCUCUACUAGCAAAAGCCCAAAAUUUGAGCUUUUGGGAGUAGAGGUUAAAGAGCUUAUCUAAAAAAUAUAUAAUAAAAAAAAUAUCAUACAGUUUAAUGAUUCAAAAGUGUUUUUUUUAUUGACAACCAAACACCCAAUGACUUUUUGUCCAAAAACUCUAUUGGUAUAAGCUCUACUGCUAUAAGCUCUAUUGUUAUAAGCUCUAUUUAAUAAGCUGUACCAAACGGAGCCUAAAGCAUUCAUUUUUUUUUUUCGCGUUUGGCCUCUUCACUUUUUAAAAAAUUUUAUGGUGUUUGGUUAUUUUUUUAGUAGAGUUUUUUUAGCUUAAAUAAGCUAAUUUACCUCUACUAGCAAAAGCCCAAAAUUUGAGCUUUUGGGAGUAGAGGUUAAAGAGCUUAUCUAAAAAAUAUAUAAUAAAAAAAAUAUCAUACAGUUUAAUGAUUCAAAAGUGUUUUUUUUAUUGACAACCAAACACCCAAUGACUUUUUGUCCAAAAACUCUAUUGGUAUAAGCUCUAUUGUUAUAAGCUCUAUUUAAUAAGCUGUACCAAACGGAGCCUGAGUCUUCAAAGAAAAACUCAAUCAACUAAUGCUCGAUUUUUUUUUUUAAAUGACAAAUCAAAAAGUAUUUUGGAGUAGAUUCUCAAAAGAGUGAUUAUUUGAUAAUCCACCAUAAUCCCACUUAGUUAUCAGAAAUAAAUUAAAAUCCGACGAAUGUUACUUAAGCCAAACAGCAUUAUUUUAUUUUGACCACAAGGACCACAACCCUCAAGCUGUCAAGCAACCGUUACCGUUAACGACCAAUCUUUCACCUCUCCGAAUCUUUGCAAGUCACUAUCAAGCAACCGUUACUAAUAUUUAAUCAAUUAUUAGGAUUAUUGGAUUUCUCAAAUACCUUAUGUACUUUGGUUCACUUUCUACUAAAAUAAAUAUUACAGGAGCUUUCAAAGUCUAGGCUAAGGUUGUUGUAAACAUAGAGAGAUUCAGAGAUAUAACAGCUUGUAAUUACAUACCACAAAGCAUAACUUUGUUCGAAUGAUAAUGAUCAUAAUCCAGAUUAUAGACGUAGAGAGAGGAGAAGUCGUACUUGAGGGGCAAAACGCGGCGUUUUGGCUCGUGGAUGAGGUGCUGCUCCUGAUCGUCGUAGAUUGAAGGGAGGAGAGGUCGGUCGAGGAAGUUUAGGAGACGGUGGAGGCUGAAUUGGUGAAUUUCGAUGAAGACUGACGAAUCCAAUGGGGCUUGAGGGUUUGAUUUGCAAAGAUGAAAGAUAAGAGCAUUGUUUUGGUUUCUGUGCAAAAAAAAAAAAAAAAAACAUGACAAGCGUUGUUUUGGUUUUGGUUCUAAAAAGAUGAAAAUUUGACUGCAAUGGAUCCAUACGCAGUCGGUGUCAAAUAAGAGGAGAAACAAAUAUGUUAAUCACUCGCUCAAUCACUCAUGCGAAGUGCCUUUUUUUUCGUUGCUUUGGCUUCUGAGAAAUAUAUGCAUCAGAUAUUACAACUCUCGAGGAUAAUGCAUUUUGUUCCGGUUUUGACUGAUAUUUAGUGGCAUUUGAUAAACUGAUACCUCAGAACCUGGUAGAGAGUUUAUUAAAUACAAAGAGAACAAAAAUAUAUGACUAUAUAAGCUUUUACACGGUUGAAGAUCCGGUCAAAUUGGCUUUAGUUAGCAAGAUCAUUUAAAACUUUCAAAAAACGAAUGGUAUCAAAAAGCUCUGAGAAAAAGCGGAAAAAAGGCACCACAAAGAUCUUGCAAUUAUUAUCACAGCUUGAUAAGACAUGGAAAUGUAUCUUACAAAUUGGCCUUCCAAGCAUCAAAGAAUUGGGUGGCGACAACUCCCAUUCCUAGCUGCUACCGUGGCCAGUCCCUUCUAACUAAAAUGGGACAGGACCAAAAGCAAGGUCUCUCCCACUCUCCUUAUGUAUAUAAAAUUCCCUACAUUCGAAUAAAACUACAGAAAAAGAUUUGCACAUCAUCUUCUUUCACCUUAUUUUGCAAUCUUCAAGAGUUUGGAAGAUUUCAAAGCACUUGUUAGAAUGUAGCACUCCAUUAAGCAUUCUCACCUUCCCCACACCCCAAUGGACCUCCUUAAUCCUAUCGGCAGACCUACAAAUUCUGCUGCAACUCCAAUCAAAUAAAGCAACACAAUUGUUGCCUGCCUAAGCCUUCCACUCACAGCCUGCAAUGACAAGUUCAUGAUACAAAAUCAGAAACAUUAAUAAACAAAAAGAUAUUACCAUUACUUGCAGAGGGGGAUUUGUUGCAAUUAGUAAAUGCCAUACUUAUCACUUUCAUUGCAGAUAUCAUCAUCAUCAUAAUACUAGCAAUCCAGCACUAAUAGUCAGAAUAAUAAUAAUAGUAGCAUGAAUAAAGAAUUUCUGCAGAGUAAGCUCUAAAGAUGCCGAAAGUGUCAUCUAUUAUGUUAAUAAUAAAAAAGUCUAUCAAGAAUUCAAGGAAAGAAAACUCAUUAACAAAGAACUAAACUUUUUAAUAAUGUUUAAUAAACUACGUACCUAUGAUUUUCUAUUAUUAACAUAAAUGACACUACGUACAACUGAUUUUCGCUUUCUAAUGUUUCAAAUCAUACCGAGAAAUAUAACAAUUACCAAGUCAGUAAGUAGCACAAUUACUUAAUAAGACUUUGACUUGUCUAACCCAAAAUUGUACCCAAUUCUAUACUCUACCAUGAAAAGCUUAUGAAGCCGAACUUACUUUGACCAAACAGUACUAUUAGCUCAGUUAAAGGAAACCACAAUUGAACAAAGUUCAGCUGAAAUAACUGAACUAAAAAAACUUGAUAAAAUUAAAAGUAACUUAUAACAGUUUAGUAAAGAAGCAUACAAAACAUGAAGAUAAAUAAACAUAGGUCUAUUUUCUUGACACUACCAGGUCCUUUCCUUUUUUUUUUUUCAGAUAAGAUCUCGAUACUACCAAGUUUUGGAUUCAAAAUCACCAUAUUACAAUAAUAGUUGUGAUUCAUGGGAUACAAUAUGUAGCAGCUUAUAUGUCGGCAAUUAUAGUCAAAGAUGGUUGUCAAACAUCAUCGCAAAUCAAGAAGCUAAUAAAGACCAUGUCACACUACAUUAACAUAUAUCAGUUCUUUGAUACAAAGAUAUUGAAUGUUAUACAUUUCUAAUCCCAAGUCCUGAAAUACAAAACAAAAGUUCACUUCACACAGUCAUAAAGCUAGACUGCUAGAUAAAUGGACAAUAGGCAUUGGAUAUGGGUCAAUAAACUAUUAAGCUAAUUAAUGCACACGAAGGAAUCCGUUAGAGCUAGUAAAAUAGCCCUUACCAGAGAACUCGCAGAAGCAUUCAAUUUCCUCAAAGGAGAUAACUUACAACAUAAACAUUUUGAUAAGCAGCAACACACAUAAAAUAGCUUCACUCACUAGCAACAGAGCAACUUCUUCAACACAUUAAUAAAUCCAUUUUCAUUUUUAAACAACAAAAUAAUGCCCAGUUUCUCCAGCACAAAUAGGGUAAGCAGUAAUAGAAAAACAUGAUACAUAGGAAUUACCGGCCUCAAGAAAUCUCCAAGCUUUCUGUCCUCUGCUUCAAUUGCUCAAUCAAGAAUGCCCCAGACGUUGCGCUAGCGUGGUGGUGGAGCGUCGCGAAGCGUGUGGCGGCGGUGUCGGCGAAGGCAGGUCAUGAAGAUAGUUGGUGUCGCGCAGCGAAGGCAGUGCAGCUGGUGUCAUGCGGCGAAGGCAAAUCGCGUGGUGGUGGAGUUGGGGUCGCGCGGCAGUGGCGGUGCGGUGCUGAGGCAUAAUAGUGGCGGUGGCGUUGUGCGACAGUGGCAGUGUGGAGGCAGAUUGCGUGGAGCUGGCGGUGUUGAGGCAGAUCGCGUGGAGGCAGAUGCCGCGGUGGUGGAGUUGCUGUCGCGAUCAACGCCUGUGAAAGGGAAUGAAAGUGAAGGAGAUACCUACAAAAGAAAGAACGAGUGAAAUUUUUUUUUUUGUUCAAGGGUUUCAAACCCACAUAAACCCGACUCUCACACGGGUUCAGUAAGUUUAUGCGGGUUUGACUGCAUUACAAAUUGGUAUGACCACAACAACAGUACAAUGAUUGGUAAUUACCAAACAUGCUAUUUAUGUUGGUAUUAAAUUAAUUUAAUACAAUGAGGAGUGGUAAUAUCAUACAAUGAGGACUGUUAAAUAUGGUGUGUUUAAUAUGUUGUAUUGUAUUAUAUUAUUUUAAUACAAAUAUAUUAUAUUAUCUUGUAUUAUAAUAUAAAAUAAUGAAAAAUAUCGAAUUUCAAUAUAUAAAAAAAAAAUAAAUAUAUUUUGUUAUAUUCGAUCUGCUGUACGGCCAAGGCGGAUGUACGGUACAGCAGAUAAGAAUUUAAAUACAUACACUUAUAAUACAACUUAGUUUUUCCACAUUGUCGAGGGAUCAAAACAACCCAUCAUUGGAGUCCAAUAAGUUAUGUGGCGACACAAAAAAGUAAUUCUAUAUUUUUUACGUCAUAAAUAUGUAAAAAAAAUUGUAUUAUAUCUUAUUAUUAUUAGUUUUUUUUCUUCAGUUUUGACAAGUAUAGUUUUCUUGUUGAGUGGCUCAACAAGGCUGGUUACAAUUUCGAAAUAAUGUUCCAUCUGUAUCUGUUUUCCUUUUGUUUUUGAUUUUGUAGUAUAGUUAAUUUGUACGAAUUUGUUGCCUGGUUGGUUUUUAUGCUGAAAAGUCAGUUCAUUGGAAAUGACAGAAAAUUGUUUUUCUUUUUCAUUUUUACAGAAAGAGAUUUGCAACGUUAUAAAAGUAAGAGAUCCUAAGAGAUCCCUGAAUCAUAUUAAAUAUUAAACUUAAGAUACAGUCAAGGCUUUUAUUAUGUUACUAAUCAUGUAACGAAUAUAAUUAUGUAGCAGUCGUUAAAUACAAAUUUAACAGUUAUAAAAAUAACAUGAUUUUAUUAUCUUAUAUUUCUAUAAUCGUUGAAUUUUUAUCUGCUGUACCGUACAUCCGCCUUGGCCGUACAGCAGUAUUGAAUUUUAAAAAUUUAAUAUUAUUUUUUUAAUAUAAAUAUUAAAAAAUAUCAUAAUUCUUCAUAGAAAUCGAAGUUCAUGGCAUUAAAUUUUUAACGCCGCAUACAUAAUAAAAAAUUUGAUUCUCUAGUGCCAAUAUAAUAGAAUACAUAAAAACGAGACUGAGAAACUACGAAUAAAGCUCAUCAUCAAGGACUCCACAACAUUAUAAGAAGUACUAUGUAACAUUUGCCAAAUUACAACACCACAUCAAGACAUAUCACAAUGUAAAAUUUUUCCUAGAGAUUUGGUAAUUGAAAAACACAAUUCAAGUUGAAAACUGAUAGUCGACUUGAAAAGUUUUAACAUAUCCCAUAAAAGAAAUGUGCCAUGCCAAAAAUCCUAACCCUUGGCUCUUUGACGAUAAGAAAAUAUUGAAAAUUCCAAAGUACAGUGCAAUGGGAGAAAGAAUGCCUAUAAAGCUAGUAAAGAUAUUCUUAAACUACUAUUGGGAUGUUGGGCUGGUUGGUAGCAAAACCCAAACCCUGCUGCUGAUUUCCGAUACCACCAUCUUGGAUAAGCCGCUCUCCCUCCUCUUCCUAACUCCUAAGCCCAAUAUCUUUCCAAAACCUUCACAACCCACUCAUAAAUCUCAUUGUUGUCGUGGAUAUGCAAAUUCUCAAUCUUUUCUACUCCAUCACACUCAUCAAUCAUUUGGGUAUAAACAUUAACCCAAUUAUCCAUUCCUAUUUCCUUGUUAACCUCACCCACCUUGAAAAUGUUCUCAAGACCCUAUAGACAAACUGUGACGAUCCUUUGGUCCAGACAAACCAGAAGAUCACAGAGCGGUUUGAUGCAACCUUGGCUCACCAGGAAUCUGCAGGACCAUGGUACCAUAAGUGAUUCUAUCACAUGAACAUCAUUAGAUUAAAAAAAGAAAAAAAAAAGAAACAUCUAUCGUAUGAACAUUGCUGAGUGAAUAAAAGAAACAUACUGAAUAUGUUCAUGAGAUCCUCCAUAUGUGGCAUUUAAGACAGGCCAUGCAGCCUCCUUGAUUUCAAGUUCUGCAUGUUGAAGAAGAGGUGCACAAAAGGAAGGAUAAGGAAGGAUGAUAUUGGCCUCCAUAACAGCCUGUUGAACAAAAAUUCGACAAAUUAUAAUUAUGAGUAUAUUUAAGUAGCAAUUUUGUCAGAAUUAACUAGACUUGACUAUUGAGGAAGUCACAUUCAAAAAUAGAAAAGACGAGCAAGCAAUUGUAUUCAUGCUAUCGGGACCAAAAUACUAUGAUGCAAGCAAGAAAGAAAAACAUACAUACAUAUAAAACACUAUCUUUGAGUUGGGUAUUUUCUUUCAAUUUUGAUAAUGGCAACUUUGGAUUCUUCUGCUGAAUUACCACCACCACCACACCAUUGUAGUUUCACAUACUAAGAAAAGGCAGGUUCAGCUCCCGUGCAUGCCCAUAAGAAUAUGAUGUAUUAAUUAGAAGUAAAAUUAAUCUGUUCAAUUAAGUUCUCUCAUAUAUUUGUGUGCGUGUGUGUGUUAAUUAGUUUGCUUUCAAAUCUUUUCUCCCUUCUUAAUGAUAUAUAUUUUAAGCAUGAUAUCAACCACGAUGAAUUUAUUAGCCGAUUUUUAAUUAUACAUUCAGCAUGAUAUCACAAACCAAGAGCUUAAGUUAGCCUAAUUCUUCAUAAAUCUAAUAAUUGCAAUCAAUAAUAAUGCUGAAAAUACGAGUUUGAAUUAAGCUAGCAACUGGUUCUUAAAUUAUGCAAUAUGUAAUCAUAGGUUUACUUAAAGAUUAAAGCAUUUCUGCAAUCCAUUGUGCAAAAAGAUUAAAAAAAAAAAAAAUAGUUGCCAAAUUUUAUCUAAAUAAAAAUUCCUUUAGUGGUUAGUACUUGUGAAUUAUAGAAAUUAUUAUUAGUACUUGCUCAGCGCUUUUUAGAUUUGUACAGGUAGAUUACGCCAUUUCAAACCCGACCAUCCAUUUAGACAUACAAAUCCCCCCAAUUCCCUGUCCUCCGCCUUUACGCGACUCUCCACUGUAUGUGCCAACUAAUUAAUUUUUUAAUUACUUGUUUAACUAAUUAAUUCAUUUUCUCAAAAGCAAGAUUAAUCUAUUUGUUCAAAUCUGAAGGAGAUUAAGUUAAUUGAUUUUAUUGUAUGUAAAAAUAUACAAAGAACUCAUGAAGCCAACUAGAAAAAAAAAAAAAGACAAAAAAAAAAUCAAACCCAGAAAUAAAAAGACAUGCUUCGACAGAAAAUUAAUGAAAAUUAUACUGAUUGUGGUUCAAUUUGAUCAAACCCAAAUAAUAACCGGUUUGAUUGAUGACUCAGCGGCAAAGUGCAGGCGCAUCAGUGGUUGCACAGAUGAGUGUUCUCGUGCGGCACGACAAAGCAAUUGUCGGCGAUUGUGAUUGGUGAUGACAUCGAGCGAUGGGGGUAAUGGCAUCGGUCGUGACUUUGUGAUGGAGAAACGAAUGUUAGAUUCGUUCGAAGAUUCGUGUUUUGAUUGAAUAACAAAGAGAGAUUUUAUGAGUUUUAAUUAUCUAAUACGAUACCGCAUAAACCCGACUCGUACGUGGGUUUAUUUUAUGCGGGUUUCGGUGUACUAAAGCAGUAAAUUUAUGUGGUGCAAUUCAAACUGAUUUCACCGCCAAAAGAUCGUGUAAAUUUAAUAUUAUACAGGGUUUUAAUACUAUGUAAUCCAAUACACCAAACAUGCCCUUAAAAACGGAUAGCAAUCCGGGGCCUUUAAAAACGGAAAAUACAAGCAGAGAAAAAGAAAAGCCAAUUGUUCAAAAGUGCCUAAUAUGCCCACGGAAAAUUUUCGUCACGACCCACAGUUACUCGAAUAGGUAAUAAGACAGGAAUGCCUUUGUUUGUUCGAAUAUAGAAGCACAAUGGCUCAGAAAGGAUCCCUCCAAUCUCCUUGGCACUGUCAGCUGGGUGCGGAGUAGCUUGGUGGCAGCAACCAUGUUUGAGAGGGCUGGCUUCACCUCAGUGUACUUGCGAGUCUUGAGACCACAGUCAGGGUUAACCCACAAAAUGUUGGUUUCUAGCACAGUACGCAUCUCGUAGAUUCUGUCAACAAUUUCUUCGGUUGAUGGUAUUCUUGGAGAGUGGAUGUCAUAGACGCCAGGGCCAAUUGCAGCAUCAUACUGGACUCCCUCACGGAAGACUGACAGGAGAUUCUCAUUAGAACGAGAGUUCUCAAUGGUGAUCACAUCAGCAUCCAUGUCGAUAAUUGAGUGGAUAAUGUCGUUGAAGUUGGAGUAGCACAUGUGGGUGUGGAUCUGUCAAUCAAUAAACAAUAGAAUGAGAUACAAAAUCAACAGCUAAAUUAAAGAGAUGAGAUUGGAGAUUAAAAGGGUAACUGACCUGGGUAGUGUCCUGGAUGCCACAGUUGGUGAUUCUGAAGGAGUGGACUGCCCAGUCCAAGUAGAAAGCAUGCUCAGAUUUCCUGAGAGGCAAUCCUUCCCUCAAGGCAGCCUCAUCAAUUUGAAUAACGUUAAUGCCUGCCUUCUCAAGAUCCUCGACUUCGUCCUUGAUGGCCAAAGCAAUCUGGUAGCAGGUUUCAUGUCUGCAAAAUUGGCAGCGAUUGAUGUUAAACAAUGUUUCCAUUCCAAAAGGUUAACCAAUAGUGAACCAGUUCUCAUUUAUAUACCUGGGCUGGUCAUUUCUGACAAAGGACCAGUUGAGAAUGGUGACAGGGCCAGUAAGCAUUCCCUUCAUUGGGCGAGCAGUCAUGCUCUGAGCCCAGGAGGACCAGAAGACGGUCAUAGCCUUGGGACGGCUCACAUCACCAUAGAUGAUGGGUGGCUUCACACAGCGAGAUCCAUAGGAUUGCACCCACCCAUUGGCAGUGAAGGCGAAACCUGAUAACUGCUCUCCAAAGUACUCAACCAUGUCGUUUCUCUACAAAAACAAAUGUCCGAAUUCAAUUUGAGAUCCAGCAUACUUCGUAUGCAAUUAGAAAUGCAGAAACAAAAAUGUAUAAAAUUUUAUGUAAUUCAAAACCAGGAGACAUUGCUUUGCUUCCAUUGGGCAUUGCGAGACUCACCUCAGGCUCUCCAUGGACAAGGACAUCAAUAUCAAGCUCUUCUUGGAGUUUGACAACCUUGUUGAUUUCCUCCUUGAUGGAAGCAACAUAUUCUUCCUCAGAAAUCCUAAAAAGGACAAAUAGUCACGGCACAGUUAAUACAGUAGUUGCAGUAAUUUCACACAUGGCAUUGAAUGAAGAAACACCUCAGAUUGACUCACUUCUUAGCCUUGUAUUCACGGCGGACUCUCCUAAGUUCAAUGGUUUGUGGGAAGGAUCCAAUUGUGGUGGUUGGGAGGAUUGGAAGAUUGAGCUUCUUCUGUUGAGCAUCUAAUCUAGCACUAACGUUUGUAGCACGUCUGUGGUCUGAUCCCCUCAAAGCAGCAGCCUAAUAGACCAAGAGGAAGGAAUCACUGUUAGCAAAAAAGGAAAUUCUAAGGGACAGCCACAUCAUAAAAAUGGAAAACAAAUCAAUCAUGCCACUUACAGCCUUUUGAACUGCCUCAUUGGUCACUCUCGGGGAGGACUUUCUUGAAGCCUGAGCUGCAGCAUUGGCAGAGAAGAAUCCCUGGAAACAAAUGAUAAGGAGAACCAAAGUUAGUCUCAUUCAUAUCAUUUUAAAAAGAAGAUACAUAUGCAAUUAGUGGGCUGAUUGUGAGAGAAAAAGUCCCCAAAACUUUAAUCAAACACCAAAUGCCCAAGUUGCCAAAUGAUGUUUAAUUCGGAAAAAUAUAUUUAAAAACAUUCAAAUAUAAUUUCCCCUUCUAAAUUUUCAUUUUCAACAACAUAUUUUACAAGCCAAGCUCAACGUCAGGCCAAGAUUUUGUGCUCCUAUAAUUAUAUUUUACCAUAAAACUAGGUCCUUGAAAGGCUAAGAUUUUCUGACUCUUGUGACUAGUCAAAGCCUAAGAUUCUUUCAAUUCAUCCGUAGUAAAAGUAUACCUCAUCCUUUUGGCCAGCCAAAGCCUUGGCCAAUGCAUUGACUUCAACAACUUUCUGGGCAGCAAAUGCCAGCCAUGACUUGAUUUCGUCGUCGAGUUUGUUCUCAUUAACAAGAUCAACAGCAGUGUGAAGAAGUGAGCAGGAGGUGGAGACCACAAGCUUGUCUGCAAAGAAAAGUAAUAAAUUAUACAACAAAUCCCAUAAUAGAAUAAGAAAUAUUUAUCACAAAGAAAAAUGCAAGCAAAGGAUGUAUACCUUUGCCAACAACACCCUCAAGCCCCCGGAGAACACUAAGAGAAGCAGCAAGAUCAUUGGCCCAAAUGUUCCUUCCAUCAACCACUCCAGCAAAGAGGUACUUGCCAGCAGGGAAUCCACUCUUGAUCAAUUCAAGGGUCUUGGUUCCACGAACCAAAUCAAAUCCAUAAGCGGUGACACCCUUCAAAGAAGUGAGGGUCUGGAAUGCCUCAGCUGGAACAUCAGCAAAGUAGGUCUCAACAAGAACAUUCAAGCCAGACAGAGUUGACUCUAGUUCCGCGUAAGCCUCACUGAAUGCUUGCAAUUUGUGUGAGUCAAGAUCCGUAACAAGCAAUGGCUCAUCAAACUGAAUCCAGGAAGCACCAGCAGCCUUAAGCUCAGAAACAACUUCCCUGCAGAAGUGUUAAUUGGUACGACACGGAUUAAUGAUGCCACACGAUACACACACACACACACACACACACACACACACACACACACACACACACACACACACACACACACACACACACACACACACACACACACACACACACACACACACACACACACACACACAGACAGAGUUAUUUAGCACAUACACGUUUAUAAAUCUGUAAAUAGGUGAUAAUUCUUACUUGUAGAUCGGAAGGAUUUUGGGAAGAAGAGAGAGAACAGAAAAGGUCUUCUCAACCCCCCAGGCAGGCUUAGACAGCAACAAGUAUGACACAGGGCCAAUAAGCACUGGGACAGUUUCAACUCCAUGCUGCAGCAUUAGACAAGUGGUAGAUAUUAGCAUCUCACAAACUUGAUCUGACUGAUAGAAAGUUACAAGCAAGUUAAGAAUAUGUUUGAUGAAAUUUCAAUGAAAAAUCUUCAGGGUCCACAACAUGUUGACUAUACCCUUUUUAAGUAAUUUAUCUUAAGACUAUUUUGCAAACAGUAUUGCUUCCCUUUACAGAUCAAAUAAAUCAUACAACAUCUGAACGCAUUUCCUGAGCCAAAUAUAAGUUCAAAGCUCUAUAAUAAAUGUCAAUGACUCUAUAGUAAAUUCCAUCACAUUCUGAGCUAUGGAUGAGCAUAUCAUAUGCCAAUUUCAAGUUGAACGUAACCCAAUUUCAACAUAUUGUAGAUUCAAGUAUCAAACGAAAAAAAAAAUAUUGUAAAUAUAGACAGAACUGAGAACAAACACUCACCCCCUUAGCCUCCUUGUACUCAGUCACAGCCUUGUGGGAAGCGUAGGAGAACUUAACAUCGGGUCCCAAUUCAGGAACAAUGAAAUGACUGCAUCAACACGAAGCCAAACACACGUCAGCAUUCAGUACAAAACCAUUACACCAUAACUAACUUGAAAUGCCGCUCUUCCAAGUAGUGAAUACUUACUAGUUGGUGUCGAACCACUUGGUCAUUUCCAUUGCGAGAACAGAGGCGUUUCCUCUGGCCAUGGAGAAGUAAACAUCGAAUCCAAUCUCGCCGCCGUUCCAGUUAAACCUCGGGGGCACGGCACCGAGCAUUGCGGUGGUGUCGAGCACUUGGUCGUAGUAGGAGAAAGUGUUGCUGGGAAUGUAUUUGAUCCCGGCCUCGGACAUCUGUUUCCAGAUGGAGGAUCUGAGAUCAGCGGACACCUUUUGCAAAUCCUCGGCGCUGCUCUUGCCAUCCCAGAAGGAUUCCAACGCGAACUUGAGCUCCCUCUUGGGGCCCAUGCGUGGGUAACCAACGAUGUGAGAUGCCAUUUUACUGUCAUAAUCACGUCAUCAAUGAAUCGAAAAUCAGUCCCUUCCAUUAAAUCAAGAAAUUAUUAAUUCAAAUGAAUGGAUCACAUUGUAUAUAUAUGGGAUAAAUAUAAUUAUGAACAAAAGCGUCUAAUCAAUCACAAAAAGCAAGCGACUGCAUCAAAUUUAGGGAUCCGACCCGACCCGACCCGAUCUGUAAAUUCCGGUUUCAAUCGGAUUAAGAUGAAACCUCUAACCCGAUAUAGUUGGAUUUUGGCCAACUCGAUCGGAUCAGAUCGGAUCGGAUUAAACUUAGUCCAAUCCGAAAAAUUCAAAAAAUCAAAACUACAAUAAGUAUAAAUCUAAAUUUUCAAUUCAAUUUGAUCUAAUCUGAAUAUAUUCGAAUCGGAUCAAAUACUAUGCUCUGCUUAAACUUGGAUUAUAUUUUUUUCAAUUUGAUUAACCUAAAAUUCGAUUGGAUAGAUCCAAAACUGAAUUUAUCUACCCCUCAGUCAUCAAUCAAUUACAAAACCUAAAAUCCGAUUGGAUAGAUCCGAAACUGAAUUUAUCCACCCUUAAGUCAUCAAUCAAUUACAAAGGCGACUGAUGUUUAUACAAUGGACAAUUAUUAAGUUACAGCUCUUGUAAUUUACAACUUAUACAAAAAUAUGUGAAAAAUUGUGAUAGGCAGUACAGUGUCAUGAUUUUAUACAAAAAUAUGUAAACAAUUGUGAUAGACGGUAGAACCUCAUGAUUUUAUAAAAAAUACGUAAAAAGUUGGGAUAAGUAAUGGAGCCCGCAUAAUUUUUUAUCAGCUGCAAGUUGCAAGUUACAGCAACUGUAACUUAGCGACCCCGACUUCAAUGUAAAAUGAGAAAGUACUCCUCCGCAUAGUACCUGAUGCUCAAAAGUCAAAUCACACGAAAUGCAAAUAGACUUAUCAGAGCAUAAAACCUUAUAUUACUUUUUGAAAAACGAUUUGAAACAAGGGCAAAAUUACAGUGUAACCGUACUUAGUCAUUGAAUUCAGCUCACAAUUAUCAUUAUAGUUAGAUCUAAUAACUAGAUCCAACUGUAUCCACAGUUAUAUUGUAGUUAGAUCUGAUAACUAAAUCCAGAUCCAGCUGUCCCCACAAUUGUCAUUAUAGUUAGAUCUAAUAAUUAGAUUCGGCUGAUUCAGCUGUGAUGUAGUACCCUGUAGUGCCAUAACUGGACAAAGAAACAAACUGAUAUAUUUUCUUUUUUGAAACAAACUGAUACUAAUCCAAGAGUUUCAGAUGAUCGGUUUUUUUUUUUUUUUCUAUAGUCACAUCAAUAAUUAAGUACUUUCAGUCAUUUUCGAAGGAUUAAAACGAAAACUCUAAAAAAAUUCUGAGAAUGAAGAAUCCGAAAAUAGAUUCAGAAAUAGUAACACAAGUAGAGGUCAGAUUGUUUUUUGGAAAAGAUUAAUUGCAGAUCUGAUGAACUCAAGUCUAGAUCUAGCAAAAUCACGGCAGCCAAACACUAGAUCUAAGACUAACAGUCACUCACCAGUCGAUCAGAAAGUGAAAUCAAGUUCAAAAUUCUUUUUUUUUAAUAGAUCCAAAAGCUAAUAUACAUAUAUAUAUGGCAAAAUAUAUAUACCGUACCCGAGAAGGACGAGCAGAGAAAUUAAGCUUUUUUCGAGAGAACGAGAAAGAAGAGAGACGAGACUGUUAGAAAUUGCUGUCAGUUUAAUUUUUAUUUAUAGCCAAAAACCUAACCUUGUUUAGUGGUUACUGGUUACCGUCUUCGGCGGUGUUGAUCUGAGAUUUAUCAUUUUAAUUUCUUUCUCUUACUUAUUUAUUUAAUUUGGGUCCAACUACGGUGAAACUGUAGUACCGUGCUACAGUUAUUUUCAACCGUUUGAUUCACUUGGAUGGUGGGAUCCAAUAAAAUCCAAUAACUGGGUGCAACCGUAGCACGGUGCCGCAGUUGCACCACAGUUUUUCCCAUUUAUUUAUUAUGCUUUCAGUGCAGUUGGCAAAAACAUGGAGCUUACGCGCGCUUUUCUGAUGUGGCGCGUGAAUUGGAAAUGUGGUAGAUCUUUGUGGAUCCGCCGGUGCAGUGAAGAGUGAAGGAAAAAAGAGAAAAGUUAUCAUGCCAGAUCAUUUGAAGAGAGCCGCAAUUAGUAAUUACACCACAAUAUAUUUCUGAUUAUUUGCUUACUUUGAUGAUGUUUUUACUGAUUAGUAAUUGGAAUAUGUUAGAAUCUAAAUAUAGUAGAAUCAUAAUAGAGUUGAAUCAAAAUAGACUAUAAUUAGAAUGGAUAAUGGGAAUUAGAAGAAUUAUUUGCUUUAGUUGUGAGAAUCCAAAUUGGAAUGAACUAUAUUGUCGUUGAUAUGUUUACUUUAUCAUAGAAUAUGAAUGAAUUAUUACAAGUUACUAAACAGACCUUAAGUUGAUUAUUGUCAUUAUUUAUUUAUUUAUUAUUAUUAUUAUUAUUAUCAUCAUCAUCAUCAUCAAAAUUAUUAAUCUUAUUAUUAAUGUUAAUUAUAAUAAUUAAUAAUUAUAAUAGUAUUAUAAUAAUAAUAAUAAUAAAAGCAAUCAUAAAAUGAGAAUUUCAAGAUUUAAGUAGAGAUAAUAUAAUUAUUUUAGAAAAUGAGAAUUUCCAUGAGAAUGUGAACUCUAUUAAUCAUUCCCAAUUUGAAGUGGGGCCUGCCAUUUUGAUUCAAUCUCUCAUUUAAGCAAGUAAAUACGACAUUUAUUCUCAUUCCCUCAUUCCCACUCUCAGGUAGCGUUUGUUUUUUAACUUAAUGACUUAAAGUGACUUAACUUAAUUAAUUAAGUUAAUUAGAGGUGUUUAUUUUUAUAACUUAAUGAGACUUUUUAGAUAAUUUUGACUUAAUAAAAUGAGCCAAUUUUUUUUGGCUUUUUACUUAAUGGAGAAAUUUGAAUUUAGUCAAUUACUUACUAAUGUCAAAAAUAUCUAUGUUUUAUAAUUUAUUUUUCAUGUCUAUCCCAAAACUCACCCAUAGACAUUUACCCCACAUAAAAAUAUCCCUAUUUUUUCUUUCUUAUAUUAUAUACGAUAAAAUUUGAAAUUUAUGGUAUUUUAUAUAUUAAAAUUCUAAAAUAAUUAUGUAUUCACUUGAAUAUAGUUUUACUUAUAACUGUUAAAAUAUUGUGGUAUUUAAUAUAUUAUUUAUUUGACAUUAAAAUUUAAUAAGGAUACAAAUGUAAAAGUACAUAUUUUCAGUUUUUUCAGUUAAAAAAAAAGCAACUUAAUACUUAUUUUUCGAGAUUCAGACGAAAAAAUAAACAUAUUAUUCAUAUUCAGACAUUUAGAUAUAUUCAGAAUUCAAACUAAUUCAGGUCUAUUCAGAUUUUAGACAAAAAAAACAAACGCCACCUCAAUCAAUAAACACACCAUAAAUGUAGAGUUGUUACUAUUAGAAUACAUUAUAAUUCAUCACAAUUAUGAUAGGUAUAUACGUGUGUAAUAAUUUAUAUAAGAUGCUAAAUUUUGAAAAUAAUAAAAAAUCAUUUAUACAUAUUUAAAAAAAUCAUUAAUACAUUAAAAUGUGCAUCACAUAUACAUUUACAUAAUAGCAAUGACCAUAGUAUAAAAAAAACUCCUAAAAGAGAACGACUUCGUUAUUUAUGUUAUUUUAUAUAUUUUUAAUUGAUUAUUAAAAGGAUCAAUUGUUAAUUAUUAUUCUCCAAACAUAAUCACCGUUAAACAUUUAUUCAAUUUAACAAUAGGUAGAUGUUAAAUAAUAUUGGAAUAUUUAAUGAACAAUAUAAUCACUAUUGCAGUUGUUUUUUUUUUUUAGUAAUGGAUUAUUCGAAACUCAAAUUCAUUUUUUAGCCCCCUUACCUCUCUUAAAAUUCAAAUUUAAGUGACUAAACAAAUAAAACUGCUUAAAAUCUAUACGACUACAUCUUUGGGGACCAAUUAAUAUGGAUGUUUAAAUCUUGAUUUAUUAUUAAAUCUUUGAGUUUCAACCACUAAUAACAUCAUCAUCGAUUAAUGACAAAUAAAAUAAUACAUCAUCAAAACCAUUAAACACGUCCAUCAAUAUCAAAAACAAGUAAAAAGUUUAGCAUGUAUUUCAAAUAUACUUUUCAUCCCAAAAGUUGUAGAGAAAGUCUCGAUAUCAAUGUCACUAUGAGACGUAAUUUUAUAUUUAAAGUCAGCGCAACUUAAAAAUUACUAUGAAUGAAUAAUACACCAUAAAAAAAUUAUUUAUAAGUAUUUUCAUCAUGUAUUUUUAUUUAACAAUGGUGACAUUUAUUUUUUAACUUAAUGACUUAAAGUGGCUUAACUUAAUUAAUUAAGUUAAUUUUAGGUGUUUGUUUUUAUAACUUAAUAGGACAUUUUAGAUAAUUUUGACUUAAUAAAAUAGGCCAAUUUUUUUUAACUUUUUACUUAAUAGAGAAAUUUGAAUUAAGUCAGUUACUUUCUAAUGUAAAAAAAUAUUCCUACUUUAUAAUUUAUUUUUCAUGCAUAUUCAAAAACUCACCCAUAGAUAUUUACCCCACAUAAUCUCAUCUUUAUUUUCUUCCAGCCGUCAUGGAAUCCCUCCUCACUUUGCUUCUCUCCUCUAGUUCUUGAAUCUCCCUUUAAUUUCUCGCUAGGCAAAGCACUUGAAUUGGGCUUUUUUUUUUUCCUUUUCAAUUACGUUUUCCAACAUUCACUUAUAUAAUAAUCAACUAGUUGCUACUCUUUUUAGUGAUAAAAUUUGAAAUAUGGUAUUUUAUAUAUUAAAUUUUCAAAAUUAUGUAUUCACUUAAAUGUAGUUUUACUUAUAAAUAUUAAAAUAUUAUGUUAUUUAAUAUAUUAUUUAUUUGACAUUCAAAUUUAAUAAGGAUAUAAAUGUAAAAGUACAUAUUUUUAAUUUUUUAAGUUGAAAAAAUAACUUAAUAUUUAUUUUCAGAUAUUCAAAUAAAAAAUAUAUUAUUUAAAUUCAAAAAUUUAAAUCUAUUCAAAAUUUAAAGUAAUUCAGGUCUAUGCAUAUUUCAAUCAUAAAAACAAAUGCCACAUGAGUCAUUCAAUUUCUAAUUAAGAGGAUAAAAAAUAGAUUUGGACUAUCCUAAGACAAAAACAAAAAAAAAAACAAAAAUAAGAUUUCCUAAUAAGUGUACUAACGUGGUCACGCGCCUUGAGAAACGCUUGGACCUAACACACUAUUUUAAUCCGAUAUGCAAAAAAAGAAAAAAAAAAAAAAGGAAAAAUUAUGAGAUGUAUAAGUUUCUAGAGACGUGUUAAAUUUUGAUGAAACAAUGAAGAAAGUCGGUGGCCGAAGUUGGUAUGGGGCAAUGCGAAUGGUGGUUGGCCCACGUUGCCCUGUAAUUGGAGUUGUUAUAAUUUUUCUUAUAAUUAAUAGGACUUGACACAGACUGCAGCAUCAGCCGUUGGAUGUGGAGGGAGAAACUAAACAAUAGAAAACCGUAUGGUGGGAUGACGGUAGAUGUUUGUUACAGAAACUGUACCAUAGACAGGUCCUAAUUAAUAAGCUCUACGUUUUGAAACAAUAAAUAAACUCCAGAUGACCAAAAUAUCAUUUCAUACUGCUACCUAGACAUCUUGGCGAGGGUGGGUAAUGUGGGGCCCGGAGCUUGUUUGAUCGUCAAUUAUUCUCUGGUUUGGUGAAACGAAUGGACGGACGAUGGUGAUGGCUUUUAGGAGAUUAGUAUUAUUAUUAUUAUUAUUAUUAUUACAUUGAGAUCGUAAAACAAAAAAUUCAAUUAAUAAUAUAAAAUAUUUAUUUAAUUUAUUAAUUAUUAUAUAUACACAAUAAAAAAAUUUAUAUACAUAUUUAUAAAUGUGUAAAUAAAUUUCAUUCAAUAUUAUAUCCAAUUAAUCAUUUAUAUUUUUCUGCUGUACCGUACAUCCGCCUUGGCCGUACAGCAGUAAAGCUGCUGAUGCUUUAUCGCGAAUUCAUGAGGAAAAUGUGAUUGAAGAACCCAAACCAACAACUCUUUGUUUGUCGUUAGACAUUUACCCCACAUAAAAAUAUCCCUAUUUUUUCUUUCUUAUAUUAUAUACGAUAAAAUUUGAAAUUUAUGGUAUUUUAUAUAUUAAAAUUCUAAAAUAAUUAUGUAUUCACUUGAAUAUAGUUUUACUUAUAACUGUUAAAAUAUUGUGGUAUUUAAUAUAUUAUUUAUUUGACAUUAAAAUUUAAUAAGGAUACAAAUGUAAAAGUACAUAUUUUCAGUUUUUUCAGUUAAAAAAAAAGCAACUUAAUACUUAUUUUUCGAGAUUCAGACGAAAAAAUAAACAUAUUAUUCAUAUUCAGACAUUUAGAUAUAUUCAGAAUUCAAACUAAUUCAGGUCUAUUCAGAUUUUAGACAAAAAAAACAAACGCCACCUCAAUCAAUAAACACACCAUAAAUGUAGAGUUGUUACUAUUAGAAUACAUUAUAAUUCAUCACAAUUAUGAUAGGUAUAUACGUGUGUAAUAAUUUAUAUAAGAUGCUAAAUUUUGAAAAUAAUAAAAAAUCAUUUAUACAUAUUUAAAAAAAUCAUUAAUACAUUAAAAUGUGCAUCACAUAUACAUUUACAUAAUAGCAAUGACCAUAGUAUAAAAAAAACUCCUAAAAGAGAACGACUUCGUUAUUUAUGUUAUUUUAUAUAUUUUUAAUUGAUUAUUAAAAGGAUCAAUUGUUAAUUAUUAUUCUCCAAACAUAAUCACCGUUAAACAUUUAUUCAAUUUAACAAUAGGUAGAUGUUAAAUAAUAUUGGAAUAUUUAAUGAACAAUAUAAUCACUAUUGCAGUUGUUUUUUUUUUUUAGUAAUGGAUUAUUCGAAACUCAAAUUCAUUUUUUAGCCCCCUUACCUCUCUUAAAAUUCAAAUUUAAGUGACUAAACAAAUAAAACUGCUUAAAAUCUAUACGACUACAUCUUUGGGGACCAAUUAAUAUGGAUGUUUAAAUCUUGAUUUAUUAUUAAAUCUUUGAGUUUCAACCACUAAUAACAUCAUCAUCGAUUAAUGACAAAUAAAAUAAUACAUCAUCAAAACCAUUAAACACGUCCAUCAAUAUCAAAAACAAGUAAAAAGUUUAGCAUGUAUUUCAAAUAUACUUUUCAUCCCAAAAGUUGUAGAGAAAGUCUCGAUAUCAAUGUCACUAUGAGACGUAAUUUUAUAUUUAAAGUCAGCGCAACUUAAAAAUUACUAUGAAUGAAUAAUACACCAUAAAAAAAUUAUUUAUAAGUAUUUUCAUCAUGUAUUUUUAUUUAACAAUGGUGACAUUUAUUUUUUAACUUAAUGACUUAAAGUGGCUUAACUUAAUUAAUUAAGUUAAUUUUAGGUGUUUGUUUUUAUAACUUAAUAGGACAUUUUAGAUAAUUUUGACUUAAUAAAAUAGGCCAAUUUUUUUUAACUUUUUACUUAAUAGAGAAAUUUGAAUUAAGUCAGUUACUUUCUAAUGUAAAAAAAUAUUCCUACUUUAUAAUUUAUUUUUCAUGCAUAUUCAAAAACUCACCCAUAGAUAUUUACCCCACAUAAUCUCAUCUUUAUUUUCUUCCAGCCGUCAUGGAAUCCCUCCUCACUUUGCUUCUCUCCUCUAGUUCUUGAAUCUCCCUUUAAUUUCUCGCUAGGCAAAGCACUUGAAUUGGGCUUUUUUUUUUUUCCUUUUCAAUUACGUUUUCCAACAUUCACUUAUAUAAUAAUCAACUAGUUGCUACUCUUUUUAGUGAUAAAAUUUGAAAUAUGGUAUUUUAUAUAUUAAAUUUUCAAAAUUAUGUAUUCACUUAAAUGUAGUUUUACUUAUAAAUAUUAAAAUAUUAUGUUAUUUAAUAUAUUAUUUAUUUGACAUUCAAAUUUAAUAAGGAUAUAAAUGUAAAAGUACAUAUUUUUAAUUUUUUAAGUUGAAAAAAUAACUUAAUAUUUAUUUUCAGAUAUUCAAAUAAAAAAUAUAUUAUUUAAAUUCAAAAAUUUAAAUCUAUUCAAAAUUUAAAGUAAUUCAGGUCUAUGCAUAUUUCAAUCAUAAAAACAAAUGCCACAUGAGUCAUUCAAUUUCUAAUUAAGAGGAUAAAAAAUAGAUUUGGACUAUCCUAAGACAAAAACAAAAAAAAAAACAAAAAUAAGAUUUCCUAAUAAGUGUACUAACGUGGUCACGCGCCUUGAGAAACGCUUGGACCUAACACACUAUUUUAAUCCGAUAUGCAAAAAAAGAAAAAAAAAAAAAAGGAAAAAUUAUGAGAUGUAUAAGUUUCUAGAGACGUGUUAAAUUUUGAUGAAACAAUGAAGAAAGUCGGUGGCCGAAGUUGGUAUGGGGCAAUGCGAAUGGUGGUUGGCCCACGUUGCCCUGUAAUUGGAGUUGUUAUAAUUUUUCUUAUAAUUAAUAGGACUUGACACAGACUGCAGCAUCAGCCGUUGGAUGUGGAGGGAGAAACUAAACAAUAGAAAACCGUAUGGUGGGAUGACGGUAGAUGUUUGUUACAGAAACUGUACCAUAGACAGGUCCUAAUUAAUAAGCUCUACGUUUUGAAACAAUAAAUAAACUCCAGAUGACCAAAAUAUCAUUUCAUACUGCUACCUAGACAUCUUGGCGAGGGUGGGUAAUGUGGGGCCCGGAGCUUGUUUGAUCGUCAAUUAUUCUCUGGUUUGGUGAAACGAAUGGACGGACGAUGGUGAUGGCUUUUAGGAGAUUAGUAUUAUUAUUAUUAUUAUUAUUAUUACAUUGAGAUCGUAAAACAAAAAAUUCAAUUAAUAAUAUAAAAUAUUUAUUUAAUUUAUUAAUUAUUAUAUAUACACAAUAAAAAAAUUUAUAUACAUAUUUAUAAAUGUGUAAAUAAAUUUCAUUCAAUAUUAUAUCCAAUUAAUCAUUUAUAUUUUUACAGCGGUUUAAUAAUAAUAUUUACUAAAUACAUAUGAUUAUUUUUAAAAUUCACAGUAUUUUUAAAAAUAAAUUUUAUAAAAUUUUUAACUAAUUUUCUUUACAACUAACUAUUGAACGGUUUAACUAAUAGUAAUUAUUUUUAAAAUUAUAGUAUUAUCAAAUUAGUCCUAUGUCAAAUUUGUUAUUGCUGUUUUUUUUUUAAUUAAAAAAUUACAUAGUGCAUACGUGCAUAAUAUGCCCAACUCAAAAAUUCACACAAAAUAUACUAUUUAACUUUAAGGCUUUAAUUGAAAAAAAAAAUUAAGAUUAAGAUGAAUAAAUACUAGAACAUAACAAAUAGAUAAACUCUCCCAUUCUUUAAAAAGAUUAAUUUUAUUUUAAACUUACACUUCGAAUUCAAAGUAGACAUUGAUUGAUAAAAUUAUACAAACGGAUCAAUAUUCCUACAUUUUCUUUUUAAUUUCAAAACCAACAGAUAUUGUUUGUUCAUUAUAUGACCUCCAAACAAAUAAUUUCAUUAAUAAAAUAAUAAUGAAAAGUGUCGUGAUGGGUAUAGAGUAAUUAGGUGGCUAAGUUUCUACUUUUCAUUCUAACUCUUGAGGUUGGUAGGCGCGUGGGUGGUCCACAAAACCCGUGGACGGUAGCAUUCAAACAAAGACUGGAGGCACCAGAAAAAUGUCCAAAAAGUGUGAAACCGUGACGUGUUCAACAUGUUAAUAAAUUUAGGCAAAUGUUAAAGUUACGGAGCUGGCUACGUUACAGAAACUGUACGUAACAGCCAUGCAUUUUUUAUUCGUUGGAUCUAGAGACUGAAAUUGGAUGGUUGGGAUUAAAGGCCAGAAUAGAAAUUAAUCACGGGCAACCGUUUUUAACAUUUAGAAGGGUUUAUUUUCAUGCACACCCAAAUAUUUUGACAAAUAUCAAUAUGCACCCAGUAACUUUUUAUGUAAAACCACAUAACCGACCCGUUAACUUUUCUACUAUUGAAUUAAAAAACUAUCAUGCCUCAAUUGAAUUAAAUUGAUCAGGUAAAAUAUCUUUUAUAACUUGUCAAUUUUUACAGUGAAAUAUACGAGUAUUUAGUAAAAUCAAAUUUAUUUUUUAUUCAGUAAUCAAAUUUUUUUAUUUAGUGAAAUCAAAAUUAUUUUUCUUUAGUUGUAAGAUUUUUUUAACAAAAAAAUUCUAAAAUCAGAUUUAACUCAUUUACUAUUUUAAAAAAUGAACUUUUUACUAACCAAACUAGAGUUUAUCUUUAGUCAACAUAUUUUUUUCUCUAAAAUAACCUUUGAUAGAAUUACUUAUAUAAACAUGUCAGUAUCAAAAUUACUUCAUAUUUUACCAUCCAUCAAUUUAAACUAGUGUGAAAUUUUUUUAGUUUGAUAUUGAAAAUAUGAUAGUUGAUGAGAGAAAUCUAAUUCAAAUUUACAGAUAGAAUAGUUUCUUAUAAUUGCGUACAUGGUAUAUCAAAAAUAUUUUUUUGUGAGUUUUUAAAAAAAUUGUGUCACAAGAUGAAAUUAUCUCUUGAUUUUUCAAUUCCUGGAAUUUAUGUAAAACAAUAAACACAAGUAAAUCUUUUGGUUUGUGACUUCUUGAAGGAAUGUUUGGGAACGCACAAGUUCCUCUCUCCUUCAAAAAGAAUGAUAAGUGCAAAUACCAACCUAGAAAAUUGAUUUAUAAUUCAAAGAAGAUUUGAUUGAAGAUGAUUAAUUGAAAUUUAUCUUUGCAUGAUGUCAAACAUUUUUCAAAAUGACUAAGUCAAGUCUCUUUGUUAAUUCAAAUCAAGAAAAAUUAGAAAAAUAUUAAUGCAUAGAAAUUCUACUAAGAGUUAUUUAUGAAAUUCUCAAACGAAUAGAAAUUAAAUUAACAUUUUUAAAUUUUAGUUAUGGGUUUAUUUUAAAAAUGGGUUUAGAAAGAAAUUUGAGGGGUUUAAAGAACCCCGCCCUUUCUUUAAUUAUUCGGUGAAUUUGAAAUAUAUUAAUAAGGUAUAAGAAUAUGUUAUUCUAAUCUUCUUAUGCAAAAUCUAUGCAAUUAAAAAAAAAUUCACCAAACGGUAUUUGUCUUUUUAUUGACAUUUAAUAAUAUUGAUGGCAAAUAUAUACAAUUAUCAAUCAAUUGUUAUCAACUAUUCAAGAUAACUGAAAAACUAAUUGCGUGAAGUUGGAGUAAUGAUUGUUUGAAUUGCCAAGAGUUUUUUUUUAAUAGAAACUAUUGCAAUUCAUAUCAUUAAAAAACUUAAAGACUACAAGUCGAAUAAAAAAUCUUUCCUUAUAAAAGAAUUUGACCAACUCAAAGUACAGUGUUAAAUCCUUGAGAUACAAUGAACCUAAAAAUCCUACUUUGACACACCACAAAUAAUGAAUCUAACUUAACAAUCAAUGGAGAUAAAUCAAUUUUACUAGCAAAAUAUAAGCCAAAACACAAGGCAACGUCUUCACCAAAAUCAAUAUCAUUCAAAUAAUUCCCCUUGUGAACGCCUGAAGCUAUCAUAAAAACAACAAAAAAUAAAAAAAUAAAAACAAGUAGACAAGCAAAAAAAUUCCCCAAUAACAAGUUACCCUACAAAACUUUUCCUUGUAGAACAUACACAGAAACCGCAGCUAUAGGGCUAUCGAAAGUAGGGAUGGCAAUGGGGAGGGGAGGGGAGGGGACCAAUCUCCCCAUACCCAUCCCCGAUAUUUUGCGUAUGUCCCCGUCCCCGUCAGAAUUGCUUGAGAGAAUCUCCAUCCCCUCCCCGAAUAAUAACAGGGGAUCCCCGAGGGUCCCCGGUCUUUGGAAAAGCUAGGAAAGAAAAGGGACGUGAAAAACAAAGGGGGUAGAUUUUUUGAAGGGGAAAGAAAAAGAAACCCUAGAUCUAAAUUUUUCUCUUCUCUCUAUGAAGAACUAAACCUAUUAUUCUGGUUGAAGAUUAAUAAAGCUUUGGUUCAUCAUUACUGUGAGAUCUUUCUUAUGCUUUAAUUGUUUUAUUGCUUUUUGGGUAUUUGUUUAUUCUCUAAAUUAUUGUCAUGAUUAUAUUUGUUAAUUAGAUAAUUGGCCACUAUUUAAUUAUCAACUUAAUCUAUUGUCAAUUAAAAGAUUCAUCGUAUGAAGAUUUUAAUAUUUGUGACAAAUAGCAUAGCAGUGCGUUGUGUUAUGAGAAUAAACAAUCUAAUUUAAAUGAACCAUCGUAUGCGUUUGUUGAUUAGGAUUUGGGUCUCUCUGAUUUUUCAGGUUGUCAAUUAAUUAAAUCCUAUGAUUGUAUCUAGGGUUAUCUAUUAAUUAGGGAAAUAACCAAUGGUCGUACCUUAGUUAUCGACUAGUUAAAGAGAGAUUGGCUAUUAAAGGGUCUCAGUAGCUAGGGAUGGCAAAAAUCCCCACGGGGACGGGCACCCUCGGGGAUUUUCCCCAUUCGGGGAGGGUACGGGGAUAAUUUUAUACCCAAUUUUUUUUUCGGGGAGGGGACGGGGAAAAUUUUUUACCCAAUUUUUUAUUCGGGGAGGGGACGGGGAUGAGGUGGAAUCCCCAUCCCCUACCCAUUUCCCCAUUUUAAUUUUUAUUUUUUAUUUUUAAAAUUACUAAUAAAUAUAUAACAAAAUUAUAAAUAUUGGCAAGAUAUGAGUGGAAUUUUGGGUGUGACAUGUAUAUUUGAUCCAAGGUAUAAAAAGAAGUUCAUUGAAUAAUACUUUUCUUUUUAUUUUUAAAAUUACUAAUAAAUAAAUAACAAAAUUAUAAAUAUUGUUAAAAAUAAUAAAUAUCAAAAUAGUUGUAUGUUGGGAAAGUGGUCACCCCUUACCAGGAAUUAGUGGAAGAGUAUCAAUUGAAGUUUUCACCAAUUGUUUAUUGCUUUGAUUAUACUGGUUGUAGUUCUUCUAUUAGAUCUACAGGGGAUUCUUAUAAGAAAGCAACCAAAUGGAUGACAUGUUUUGAUGAUUAUGUAAACAAUGGAGAUUGUGCAGUUGUUGCAGAUGAAUUAGAUUCAUAUUUGGAUGAAAAAGUUAUACCCCGGAUGGAAGAUUUUAAUAUUUUGAGUUGGUGGAAGACAAAUGCUAAUAGGUAUCCUACAUUAGCUCGAAUUGCUACAGGACGAGCAGGAGGUAAAUAGUUUUAUUAAAAAUAUUAAUUAAGUAUCUACAUUUAUUUCAUUUAUUUUAUUGCCGAUGUAAAAAAUAUUUUUUUUUUCUUUUUAUUGUAGGAUUAUGAAGAUUGAGACAUUGAUAAAGAUAAUUAUUUUAAUAAUUUAUAUUUUGAAUGUGACUUUGUAAUGGAUCAAUAUUAAUGUAAGAUAUAUUUUAAACUUUAUUUUUAUCUGAAUUUUUUAUUUUAAUAUGAUUAAUUUAAAAUCAAAAAUAAAAAAAUGUAUUAGACUAUUAAUUAUUCGGAGACCGGGGACCCUCGGGGAUCCCCUGUUAUUAUUCGGGGAGGGGAUGGGGAUUCUCUCAAGCAAUUCUAACGGGGACGGGGAGGGGACGGGGACAUACGCAAAAUAUCGGGGAUGGGUAUGGGGAGAUUAGUCCCCUCCCCUCUCCUCCCCAUUGCCAUCCCUAGAUUUUUGCCAUCCCUAUCGAAACCUCUACCCACCACUAUUAGAGUUAAAAAAAUCUCUGAUAUGAGUGUAUUCUUCUAAUUUGAACUCUAACGUGAUUUUUUGAGAGAUUCAUUGGAAAAAAACCUUAAGGAGUUAAAGAAGAAAUUUAAAAAAAAAAUCAUAAAAAGAGGAAUGAAAAGAAAAAGAUGCUUUACCAAGAGUUGAUUGACAGUAAUUGGUAAAUUUGAGCAUGCAAUAAAAUUUACCCAUAUAUUCAUAUGACAUAAAAUAUAAUUUUAUUCAUUAAUUACACUACUAAUUUGUCUAAAUUUUAGUUUUUAAAAAAAUAAAUUUCUAUAUAUUUACAUAAAUCUUAGUUUUUAUAAAAAUAAAUUGAAAAAUAAAUUUAUGUUUUUAUAAAAAUAAAUUUAUGUUUAUUUUUUUACAUUGACCUGAAGAAAAGACUAGUACUACUAAGCUGCUGUACGGCCAAGGCGGAUGUACGGUACAGCAGCAAUUUGACUGUUUGGGGGUGGGGUUGAUGGCUUACAUCAAAGUUAGUGUGUGCUAAGGAUUAACAAUAAUAAUGGGGUAAAUAUGAAAUUAAUCCUUGCCCAAGCAUUAGAAGUUCGUCGGUUUUCUUUUAACCGGAUAAUUACCGGUGAAUAUGUCACGCGUUCCUACACGUGGCAGCAUCUAAUUUAUUCGCUUGUCAUUUCAGUUUCUGUUAGUUACAGUUUCUGUAACGUAGCUAGCUCCGUCAGGUACAGGCAUGUUGUAACUUACGUUUCUCGUAAAAAUCAUAUAAGUUCUAUUUCUACCGCUAGGGUGAGCAUGGGUUGAUUUGGAUUAAAUUUUAAGUUAAUUUAAAUUAAAUUAUAAAAAUUUGGGUGUAAUCUAAAUUAAUUUAAAUAUUUUUAACAUAACUCAUGGGUUGGUUAAAUCAAACUAUAAAAAUUUGGUCCAACUCAAAUUAACUCAAAUAUUUUCAACACAACCCAAAGCAACUCAGUUGGAUUUUAUUAAAAUUAUAAUAAUUAUUAAUUGUUUUUAAACCAACCAUUUUGAGUUUGGUUUGGAUUUUAUUAUCAAAAUAUAUUUUUUAUUUUGAGAAAUUUAAUUUUAUCAAAAUUAUAAUAAUUAUUAAUUGUUAUUACUUAUUAAAUUGAUAAUAACAUAUAAAAAUUAUAAUUCAUAAAAAUUAUAAAUAACAAAUUUUACAAUAACUUAAUCCUUAAAUUAAAGAAUACUAGAAAAUUAAAAUAAAGUUUAAUCACAAAAAUCAUUAUUUAUCAAUAAAUAAGAAAAUUCUAAUAAAAAACUUCUACAAGCACGAUAUCGACAAGUAAAUUCAAAGAAAGAAAGAAAGAAAGAAAAGACUAGUACUACUAAGUAUUAACCCUAUUACAACACAAACUCUAACAAUGUCCAUACAAAUAAAAAAAAAUAAGACAUUCUAACUCAAGUGUCAAAGCAAUCCAUCAUAAUCAUUUCCAUCCGUAGUACUUUAAUCGAGAGAUUCCACGAUUAACUGACAAAAUGUAUGACAAUGAUAAUUUACAUUGAUUAUGACAUAAUAGAGAUGGAUUUGUCAAAGCCAAAUCAUUUGCUGGAAAGGAAUUUAGUUGAAGUAGGAACCAAAAUUCAACUUAGAUGGAUCUAUAAAAUUGGUCAUUCAAUACAUAAGUACUUUAUCAACAGAUUCAACACAUUAUAAAUUUAUGGAUUCAACUAAGUUACAACCAGCUGCAACUUAUUCCUCUCACAUAAACAAUAAUACAGCGGUAGGCUAUAUUAUUUACAAAAAGUACUUAUGUAUUGAAUGACCAAUUUUAUUACCUGCAAAAUUAAUUAAUCUUUCACUCUAUCAUCUAACUAAUGGAAGGCAAUCUUAUUUUAGGUUGUAAUGAUUAGAAACUAGCAGGAAGUGGGGGCGAUGCUCCAUAUUAAUUUGGAUAAAUCCCUUUCUAGUGAAGAAGUUAAAAUUAUAAAAUAGAGAUCAAGAUAGAAAUUUAAAGGCCCCGAUUGUUUUUUACAGACUUAAAAAUGAUAUUGAAAAAUUAAAAGCUAAUUUUAGUAUUUAAAAAUUACUUUAAGAAAAAUCACCCUAUCUUCCUGUAAAUUUUGAAAAGCAUGAAAAGAGCAGUUUUUCAAAAAUUGAUUUCGAAAAUUAGUUUCAUACUUAAUACAAUUCCAUAUAUCCUAACAUUUAUUAUAAAAAUUCAAAUUAUCCUUAUUAAAUUAGGAAAUAAAGUCAGUACAUUUAAAUAAGAGUGAUGAUAUAGACACAAACUCUUGUACCAACUGACGUAGCAUUAAUUUAUUAGUUGAAUGAAAAUAUAAAAUAAUAUAAAUAAAUCAUGUGGGCCAAGAAAUAUUUAAUUUAACCAAUUUUAUCAUGUCACAUUAUAAGCAACUUAUAAACUCAUUGGAUUCGACUCUUUACUAAAAUAAAAAUAAAUUAAUAUAUAUAUAUAUAUAUAUAUAUAUUUACAUACAUAAAAUGUGAUUAUAUACACAUAUUUAUAAUUGAAUAUGUACAUAAAUUCUGUAGAUUUAUGUCUAUCUAUACAUUUGCAUUCUUACCACAUUUUAAAAGUGUGAUUUACCAAAUACAUGGGACUUAUUUGAAAUUUAUAGCACUUUUAUAAAUAAAAUUUAUCAAACGUUAAACAGAUUCUCUAUUUUCGCGUAUAUAUCCUCAUGUAAAUUAUAAAAAUUCAAAAUUAUCUUUAUUCAAUUAGGAAAUUAAAUCAUUAUUUUUAAAGAGAUUCUUAUUAUUACUAAUUAGAUUCAAAUAACCAAAAAAAUACAAUCAAUAAAAUAAAAAUAUUUAUUUUAGUUAUCAUUUAUUAUAUACACAUAUUUAUAAAUGCAUGUGUAAAUAAAAUUUUAUAGAUUUAUGUCUAUUUAAGUUAUUUGCAUUCUUACAACAUUUAAAAAAUGAGAUUUACUAAACACAUGUGAUUGUUUUUAAAAAAGUUACAACACUUUUAAAAAUAAAAUUUAACAAAUGUUUAAUUGACUCUCUCCAAAGGUAAUUGUUUUUACAGUAUAGCUAAAGUAAUUUAUAAAUUUAUGAUAAGUAUUUGUGAAUAUUGGUCUAUGUAAAGAAGUAAAAACAACAUAUAUAUUAAGCAGCAUGAUAUUAAAACUCUUAGUAAAAUACAUAUACUAAUAAAAGAAAGACAACAAUGCAAUAAAUAAGCUUAUAAUAUAAAUUAUUAAAAUUGUAUAUUAAAAAAUUAUGCAUGAAAUUCUUUUUCUAUUUUGGUGAUAGAGAAUGCGAUAUAAUUGAAUUAUUUGAUUUAAUAAAAAAAAAAUAUGACUGUGAAGGAAAUUAACAAUUGAAUUGUGGAAUGUUAUUAAUUGUUAUUGUAUCAUUUUGCAACGUUCUAAUAAUAUGGACAAUGUUACAGUAUAUUGAUGGGCGGUAAUAUUUUCACCUCUUAAAUUGUGUAAAGUCAGCUCCAUUUAAAAAAAUUAUAUAUAAAAAGCCCAUUAGUUUUAAUAGUUUCAAAUUAAGAUUAAAUGCAAAUAAUUAACCAAUUAAAUCCUUAUUAAUAAGAUCAUUGAGCUUUAAUUAAACUAAUAAAAUGCAUUUGAUAAAUGAAAUUUACGAUAUUUAAUUACAUGAAAUUUAUUGACUACAUGAAUAAUAUAAUUGUUCAGCUGUUUAAACUUUUUCCCUAUUUAAAUUUUAAAAAACAAUGUGAAAUUUUGUAAAUAGUUCUUUGAAAUGGGGUGGAUUUACACCAUUUGUGCAGUGCAAAUAUCCUAAUUCUAACAUUUUUUUUAAAAAAAAAGACCAAAUCAUAACAUUUUUUGUAUACUAAGUUAAAGUAGUACUAACAUUAUAGCCCCCUAAUGAUUUCAAUUCAUUCAAUGAAUAUAUAAUUUAAGCAUGUUAUAAACUAAGUCUCUAAAUCGAAUUAAAAAAAGAAAAAAGAGCUUAAUUGCUGACAUAGUUGAAAAUAAAAUAAAAAAUUUUAUUAUUAGAUGAAAAAUUAUGAAACUUAAGGGGUAUAAGCGAGUCGGCAGCUGCUCACCAGGGCAUAUGUAAUAUUUGUUAAUACAUUUCAAAAUUUUAGGUUUUUUAAUAAUAUUUUCAAUACAUUUUCUAGAAGGUUUAGAAAAAAAAAAUGACUCAAUACUUUAAUCGAGCUAUGAAUAAACUCAUGUGUUAAAAAAUUUCAUAUUUACACCCAAUAAGAUUAAUUAAUGGGUGAUACAAAUUUAAGAUAGUUAAUAAUAAUAUAUAUCAUCUUAAGUUAACUUCAACUCAUUAACCUUGUAUAAGGUUUGAUGGGUCGUGCCGCAAAUUAUCACCUCUAAUCCUUUUUGCAACAGGCAUGAUGAAUGCUAACAAAAUGAAACUUCUAUAUAUUUAGUUGUUAUUCUUUUUAAUGAAAUAAUAAGGAGCUUUGCUGCAAAUUUCCAUCCAGCAUGGCAUGGACGCACGUGAAAUUUGCUAGUAUGGUCCUGGACAUGCGUGGCUGAGAUGCUUCUAAAGGCAAAGAAUUCCAAGUUCAUACCAAAUAUAACUUUCUGAUAUUUUUGUGGUAUCAAGUUUGUUUUUCACAAACUAAGGUGUCGGCGUAAAGUUGUUGUCCAUGCAAUGAAGUUUUAUACAUAAAUAUAUUAACCUAAAUUGUUACUAAAGUUCCAUAAUUAGCAGUUCCUGAGAGUUUUUACUAUAUAUUUUUUUGUUUUAAUUCAACAUAUGUUUAUUUAAUACGAUUUUAUUAAAUAAAUGUGCAUAUUUACCAUAUUUGUCUACGAUCAAUUAGUUGGAAAAAAAAAAGAAAAUUAAUAAAUUUAUUUAUUUGAUUGUUAAUGGUUUAGGCAUUUGAAUUCCCACAAAGUCAGGGUGUCAGCUCUGGACUUCUGGUGAUGUAUUUUUCUAAUAAAGAAAUAAAAUAUUGUUGUCAUUUUUUUAAUAUUCUAAUUUACCAAGCCUACCAACCAAUUAAUUUUUCUAAUUAGAUCAUUAAUUCAUUACACGUGCAUUCGCUGGCCCAGUGCUCCAAUCCCAUGCAUGCUGCACAACUCAAUGUGUUUUAAUAAGAAAAGGUUUGGUUAGCCUGUGCUGAUGCCAGAAGCCCCUUAAGGAGUUCAGGUAAACGUAAAUAUGUCCAGAUUUAGAUUUGAAUAUGUAAACGUAAAUAGGUCCAGAUUCAGAUUCGUUGCGCUAGAGAGGGGCACGCACGAUCGGGCUGCUGUCAGGUGGUACGUUGGCGUGGCAAUUCUCAACACGCGCUUCUCCUGGUGCAUACUUACGGCAAGUUGACACGUGACCCGUGUGGAUUGAGUGGACAGAGUCACGGGCACUGAUUUUUGUCAUCCAUAACGACUAACGUCGGAGACUUCGAGAAGAAAGAAAUUGUUGUCGUUUCUAAGGGGAAAAAAAUAUUUAAUUUGUUGAAGACAAAUUAACGUCGGAGAUUUUUUUUAUUUUUUAUUUUUAAUUUUGCAAUCUAAACCAGUCUAAUCAAAAUGUCAAUUUGACAAAAGUUGGACUGAUUUAGAUUAGUUCUAUUAGUUUGAUUGGAUUAAAUUGAAUUAGAUCUUGAACAUCCUAACACUUUUCAUGAAUGUUUUCCUUUUUUUUUGAAAAAAAUUAAUAAGGAGAAUUCCCAUGAAUGUUAAUUUUAUUGAUAAACUUGGCAAUUUUAAGAAAUGUUUUGACGCACGAAUAAUGCAAUUCAUCAACCCACAUAGAUAUGGAUAUAGGAAGCAGAGACCAGAUCGAUCUUGACAUAACGAAAACUUGUAUGUGUAUAUGUAUGUUACAGACCAGAUCGAUCUGUAGCAUAGACUUCUCCUAUAUGUAGGUUAUAUUCAAAUUACAAAAUGAACACAUGUUAAGGAUCUACAACUUCUUCUUUAAUCUAAUAAGCUCCCUCAACUUUAUUCCAAAACAAAAAAGAAUCAAAUUUUUGUUGGAAAUAUUUAUGAAUGAAGAAGCAAAAAGCGCUUGUAUCAAGGAUCUAAUUAAAGAACUGCCAGAGGCAUAGAUCUAUCAAAGCUCCCUCGCAUGACUCUUGGUCUCGGUGGCUUCUUCUUCUUCAUUCCGAAUUUUCCCUCCAUCUGAUCUCUUCCAACCUUUCCAUUUCCAAAUUGAAUUGAAACUUGCCUCAUAUUCGUUUGUUGAAUCCCAUCUUUUGUUGCACCACCAUGCAUCAAAAUCCUUGAAAUCCCAGCAUAAUGCAAGGACUCAGCUAUUUGCAAUGGGGUCACGUUCUUACUUGUCCUUGCCUCAACAUCAGCUCCCUUCUUCACAAGCAAUUCAGUCACAUCUGUGUGGCCAGAUUCCACCGCACAAUGCAAAGCUGUGUACCCAUCUUCAUCUUUAGCAUCAACAUCAAUCCCUUUAUCAAUCAGAAUCCUCACAACCUCAAUCUUUCCCUUAAACGAAGCCCUAUGCAAAGCAGUCCAUCCAUGUAGGUCUUUCCCAUUGAUCGCGGCGCCUGCUUCGAUCAACCUCUGCAUUGUCCUCACUUCCCCUUUCCUAGCGGCAAUACACAGGCUGUCACCAAGCUUCAACGCGUCAAAGAGACGGGAGUGACCGCACUCAGCAGCAACAUCAUAAGCGGUCUUUCCGCUCUUGUUUCUAAUAUAUUUAUUAGCACCCUUCUGCAAUAACAGCUUCACCAUUUGCUCAUAUCCCAAGCUUGCGGCGAUAUGCAAAGGCGUGUCACCGUCUCUAGCGUUGCGUAUAUCAGGCCUUGCUCCGUUUGCUAACAGAAGUCUCGCGCAAUCUCUUCUUCUGUCUUCAACCGCGAGAUGCAGAGCUGUGUUACCAUCUUUUGUUAAAGCAUUGACAUUAGCACCUUUGAUUAAGAGAAGCUUUAGUACUUCCAAAUGGCCGCCUCGUAAGGCCAAGUGUAUGGGCCCCCAUGUUGAUGUUCCUGAUCUUUCUGUGCUGGCUUUCCUCGCCAACAAGAGCUCAACAAUAAGUGCUUCCCCUGCAGCCGCCGCGGCUUCAAGUGGAGUACUGCAGCCACACCUGCCUUGAGACUCAACAUCCGGCCCAAACUCAAGCAAAAGUUGAACAAUAUCAGGCCUCCUUUGAGCUAUAGCAAUAUGAAGCAACGUUUGUCCCUGCGCAUCGGCAGAAUCAGCCGGGUUCCAAGCCGGGUCACUCCGCUCAAGAACCUCUCUUAAAUCAUCCAUUUCACCAUCCUUAACAAGCAGAACCAAAACAGGAGACCCAACGAACAUGAUCUUGAUUCCGCUGUCGAUGAACACUUGCUUCUUCCUCGUUGUGAACCAGUCACUGGGGACGGAAUCAAGCGUCGACGUUGCAUCUUUAAUUCCAGCUCCAGGAACAACAACGCUGUGCAAGAGGAAGGAAUCAUCACAGUGAGGGAAAGAAUCAGGAAGAACCGAUCCUGGAGGGAGAUGAUACGCAAUCUCUACGCUUAGUGUUGCGAGUGGUGAUAUGAUUCCUGAUUGCGGCUUCACAGUAUAACGAGCCUUGUUUGUAGGCUGAAUCCUGAAAGCAACAGGCAUCGUGUGCAUGACAUUGCGGAGAGUCAGCUCCCCGGAACAUUUCUGCCCUGGUUCAAUUCUGAUAGCUACAAGGUUCGACGGCUCCAAGCUUACAAGCCUAUCCAUUGAUUAAUUUUCUCUCCGUUUCCCAAGGACUGCUGAAAGGGGUUCUUUGAACUUUUUGAUUCAGGCUUAUUUUCUUCACUUUUGGUGGCAUGGGGAGGAAUUAGAGGAGUAACUGUAAGAGCUGCAAGUGUUGGUGUAAUCAACUGUAAUAUAAGGAGAAGAGAGGGCCGGCUCUAAUGGGAGACUGCCACGUGGUGGUGUUAAAAACAAUGAGACUUGUUCUGUUCGGCGUCCGGAGUGUAUAUACAGUUGUGUUAGUGGUGAAAGUUAAAGAAAUCCUGAAGUUAUUUUCGGAGUGGCUUCUGCAAAGUCACUUUCAGGAUUGUAUUGUAUCAUUAAAAAACAAAGCCAGUUUUUGUUGUUCUAGUAAAAGGCGAAUCAUUGGACAAACUCGUAAGAAUAUGUUGCCAAAUGUAUAAAAUAUGAAAUUCAAACAAUGAUUACAAUGUGAAAUUGGACAAUGGACAUGGCCUGUGUGAAUUGUUUUGUGGGCUUACUAAUUAAAUUAAUUCACUAAAAAUAAUGUCACUUUUGUGUCUGUGAAGAAGCCGAAAUGGCACAGUCAUUUACGUGGCCAACUACGGUGACUACUUCGUCAGUAGCUGCUCGAGCACUUGGUCAGCACAAGUUGCUUUCUUUCUUGGCGGGAUUAGUUUUUCUUCAUUGCUUUAAGUGGUGCAUUUCUGCAGUUUCAUUUUGCUUUGCUUAUGCCAUUGGAUUUGUGCCCCAUAAAUAAAUAUAUAAUUAAGCGGAAAAGUAUCAAAUUUUGAAAAAGCUUAGGUUUUGUGUGUGUGUGUGUGUGUGUGUGUGUGUGUGUUUUAAGCCGAAUUACUCGGCUAAAAAUUAAUCCGAUUAUUAUUGUUUUGGUGCUUAAGAUGUGACUCUAACCUAAAGCUCAUUUGAACUCUCUUGAUGCUCAUAUGGUAUUUUUUGUGUUGUGUCGUGCUGGCCCUUACACAUCUCGGCUCAUAUUUUUCAUGUUACUAAGUUCUAAUAUGUACAAAAGAAAUAGAGCAAUGUCCGGUGGUAGAUCCAAACACUCAAUUUGGGGUGCUUAUUUUUCAGUCUCAAAUUCGAUUAUUUUCUUUUAAAAUAUUAAAAUAAUAGUAAUAAAAUACUUAUUUUAAAUACUGAGCUCAUUACAACCACAUAUGUAAAAGUAUCAUUUAUAUUUUUUUUCUAAAUAAUCUUCACAAAAUAUUUUAAAAAAUAAAAUUAUGUGACUAUGGGGAUUUGAACCAAGUCUCUCAAACUACUAAAUAACACUUUUACCACUAAAUUACAAAUCUUUUAACAUAUUAAAAGUGCAUCCAAAUUAUUAUUAUUAUUUAAUUAUUUCAUAAGAGAUUUGGGGCACAUUUAAAAGAAAAAAAAUUAAUGGUGCAUAAAGGACUAAAGCCUCUCUUGAGUCCUUGACCUUAACUAGGUCCACCCAUGGUAAUGUCAGUGAUACCCAACUUGAAAAAUAUACAAGAAACUUGGAAAUUUAAAUUAAUGAAUAAAUAAAUAAAUAAAAGGAAACUUAGUGAUUGUAGCUGUUGUAUUGUAUUGUGGAUCAAAGAAUUACAAGUUCUUGGUUUCUCGGUAUUGGCUAAUUUUGAAGUUAAAUGAAGUUCGAAAAUAUUUACAAGCAAUAAAAUUAUCAACUGAAUGAGACAAGGAAAGAGUAUAAAGACCUUAGCAAAUUAGCAAUCCUUCUUUAAUUUAGUAACAGUGACGCUUAUAAAGUUAGAAGACGUAUCAAAUCUAAUUUAGAUUUUGCCCCAUAAAACUAACUUAACUUAUAGUGCGUCUUUGUUUAAUUAGUAAAUAUUCCACAAAAACUGAUCAGCACUUUAUAGGAAAUUCCAAACACGUUUAUAUUCACAAGGAAUAUGUCAAGGAGAAAUGAGAAUAAAAAAAUGUAAAAACUAAUAAAGCUUCAUUAAUUAGAAUUUAUAACCAUAUGUGCUCCUAUACUACUUUUAUUAUUAAGAAUUUGAAGUAGAAGGUAGUUGAUUAUCAUGAAAUUACAAAAUUGUAAACGGAUUUGUUCUUUUGGAAAAAGAAAAAAAAAAAAAAAGGAAGGAUAGUUGAUUACUUGAUUAGUGAGAAAUCAUACGUAUAAAGGACAAAUUGAAAAAUGGGACCUGAAUUGCAACAAAGCUUCAUUGGAAUUAACUGCCGAUAAAAUUAAAUUAGUAUCACCCUACCCUUUCAUCUUAAUAUAUUCGAAAUUUCACCGAUCAAAGUUUCUAGCUUCGAUUUUUACGAUCUCUCAUCCUAAUAACACCAAAAGCAUAUUCAUUCGUUUGUAAGAUUAUGUAACAAAAUAUAGUAAAUAGCCUAUAAUUUUUUUGUUUUACUACUAACCUGUUAUCAUUCUUUUCUAAUAAUACAUGUUAAAAUAUUCACAGAAAAAAUUUAUCCCUAUUACACCCAACCACCUUUUUUUGUGUUUUUUUUGUUCAAAUUUUAGCAUUAAAGGGACAAUAAUGUCCUAUGAAAUAUGCAGAAAGACAGUUAAUAAUAUUCAAAAAUGUAAGUGGAGGUAUCUUACGCCACACACACAAAUUACACGACUCUCAUUAAUGUGUUGUUGUUGUUAUGUGUGGCGUAAGUUACAGUUGAAUGUCAUAUUCAAAAAAGUAAGUGGAGGUAUCAAUCUCCCUAAAUAAAUAAUUUAUGGAAGGUUGUUAGCUGUUGUACUUUUAGUUAAUUUUAAAAUCACAAUAAUAUGGUUAAUGUUAAGUUACAUGCAUGUAACUUAGGAGGAUCCCAAUAAUAUACCAUAUUUUAUUAAUAUGUACAGUAUUUAUAAUAUUUAAAAAUUAAGGAAUUAAUGUACGCAUGUAAAAGCUGCAUUGGAGCCAGUUGGAAAUCUUACUGUCUUGAUAUAUGCAACGAUUGUAGCAGCUAAAAAGGCAUGAUAUUUACUUAAUAUUAUUUCAAACAAUAAUUAUUUAUUUAAAGCAAAUAAUAAUAAUGAGGGCAGAAGGACUAUUCUAGGAUCAAUAUGGUGACAGUAUAAAUAAAUAAUAUUAAUUAUUAAUGCAUUGAUGAGUAUUGUUAAAAUGACAUAAUAGGUUUGUUUCAUUGAAUUGAACCUUUUCUCUUAAAAUAGCUAUAAUUUGUUCUCUCUCUCUCUGUGUUUUUGUUUUUGUUUUUCACUUUAGUUUUACUUCUCUUAAAAAACCAAAAAAAAAAAAACAAAAUUAAUGGAAACUGAUGAUGGGAAGACGGACAAUUUUCUAUAUUGUUAAAUAGAAAUGGGCACAAAUGUGAGUUUUUUGGGGCAAAAAAAUAUAGUCAAUGUACGUAGCGUUUGUCUAUUUGAAAACCCGUCAAUAUAAAAACAGGACGUAAAGCUUUCAGACAAAGUACUCUUAUGGCCGUACUUUCCAUAAACCAAAUCAAAAGAAGGAAAAUAUUUGUGUCUGGCUUCGAUGCGACUGUUAACAUUCACAAAUAAACACCUUUGCAUGGUCAGAAAAAUUAACAAGAAAUUAGAAGGCGAUGUUGCGUUCUACUUAGUUCUCUAGGAUUUGUGUCAUUUGUUUAUGCUACGGUUCGUUCCCAUUUGCAUUGCGUGGAAUAAUUGGCCGAAUAUUAUUAAUCUCAAUCUUAAUCUCUCAACUCUUGUCCCUUUAAUUUUUGUUUGUAUCUUUUUCUUUUUUUUUUUAAAUAUCACAUACAAUGCUUUUAAUAAAUAACUUCAUAGAAAUAUUUAAUAAAAUCCAACAUAUAUAAGUUCAAGAAACUCAAAAAAUAAAAGAAAAUAAACUCACGUUGUCACUGGAGAGACUCAAACAUGCUACCUUAAAAUUAAGUAGAGGGUGCAACUACUUGCACUUUAAAAAAAGAAAAGAAAAAAAAAGGGGCUUUGAACGCUCGUGAUAAUUUGCAAGUUAUGGAGGAUAAUCAUUGUACAAUGGGGAGAACUCUUAUGGAACAAUAUUCAAACUGAUAUUGAAAGCAUAUAAGAAUUUGGCUUGGGUGUUUUGGUGCCAUGAAUGAGUGCAGAAACAAAGAGGAAGCUUUGUCCCUUUAAUUUGAUCUGCUGUAUUAUAAUUAUUGAGAUUAAUCAAAUAAAUAACCGAAACAUGGUUACAGUUUUAUAGUGUAUUGCAAGUCUUUGGAGAUACUAUGUACCUCAAAAAAAAAUAUCGUAUAAAAGAGUGUUUUGUUUCACAGGGGUUCAAUGAGAUUUGAGAUGGCUGUAAUGAAAGUGAUGUAAAUUUUUUGGACUCUAAUGAGGUGUUUUUAGAUGGAGGGGGAUUUACAAGUAUUUUAUAGGGGUGAUAAAUGACUGUAUACCCACCAAAAAGGCCCAUUGUUCGAGUCCAUGAGCAUUACAGUUUUUUUUUUUUUUUUUUUUGAAAUUCAGAACAUGCAGUUUGUUUGAUUCAACUUCCGAAUUACAAAAUUAGAAUAAGAAAAAAAAAUGUGGAUGUUUUUUCUUUAAUUUACAUAAUAAUACAUGGUGUGGACGAUGUCUAUUGAGGGAUAAAAGAGGAAUGGGGGCACUGUGAAGUUUGUGUUUUUGUUUUUUUUAAAUUAUCAUAUUCAUACUGUCUAUAAAAAUAUGCAAGUUAAAAAAUUACUCAUGAUAUUGUUGUUUUUGUUUCAUAUAAUACUACUUAUGCACAUCGCCUCAUGCAAACAUUUCUUAGUUAUGCUUAAAAAAAUGAGAUUCUCACCAUGGGUCACUGUAAAAAUCCACAGAAGCCGUGGAUCACAGUAGGAAGCCCACUUGAACAGAAGAAGCUACCGAAAGCUUCGACAUUGUAUUUAUGAAAUGCUUAGUAAAUUUUGUUUUAUUUUGAAUUUAUAUUAUAAAUGGUGUGUUGCUAAAUUAAAAAAUAAAAAAGAAAUGCAAUGUGUCAAAAUACAAGAAUCUUACGGACAUUUUUGUCACAAUAUAUGUAAAUAAUUCAUAUCUUAUUCAUAUCCUAUGUAAGCUUCACUUGUUUAACACAAUGGUGGUUGAAUCUUCAAAAAUUCAUAAUCUUAAACAACCAAAUUUGGAAUUAAUUAAGCAAAUUGCCUCUAUAAAUUGAUUACAACAACCAACGACGUGUGAAGCCACAUGUCAAUUUCCCUAGACAGCCCAAAUAUUGAGGCGCUGUGAGGGAGCAAGGUGCAAUCGGAUGGGGGAAAGAGAGAGAGCCAAUGGUGAGAAUGGAUCGUGGUGAGGGAGAACCAACUGGUGGUGAGAUUUGUGGCUUCAAUGAGGUGAGUUUCGUGGCGCUGUGAGUGAAGUGAGAUUUGGCAUGAGUGUGAGGGAGAAUGCGUGUGUUGUGUGAGUGAGGUAAGCUGUGUCUGUUGUGUGCAUGGAGACUCUCACCACAAUUAGAAUUUAUAGUUAGCACAGAACGAAACACAAUAUUCUACGCUAACUGUGGAGUUAACCAUGGUGAGAAUAUCAUUAUUGUUUAUUAUAACACUUUUUUUUUUAAUUUGUUUUGACAAUAAAAUAAAGAACCUUGUAAGAAAACCUCAAUAACUCAAUUAAAAAACCAACUCAACCGAUGAUAGGUAAAUUGAGAAAUUUUCAACUAAAAAUUAUUAAGAUUGGUUUUAACUUCAAAUCAUAGUCACAUAGUUUUGUCCUUAUAAAGAUCAAAAUAAUGAAUUCUAACUCCGAAGUUUUUAGAUUUAUGUGACGAACUGACGAUAGUAUAUUGAAAUCGAUUGAAAUGAAAAAUUUAAUUAAAUGCAAUUCAAGAUGUAGUAUCAAAUUCAAACGAUUCGGAUUGUUUUAAAAAUUUCAAUGCUUUAAUCUAAAUCGAUUAAUCAAUUACACUCUUGCAAUUAUAUACCGUUAAAACUAAAAUAUGUAAAAUUUAGGGUGCAUUUAUUACCAUUUUCAAUUUGUUGUUUUUCGUUUUAUGAAAAGGAAAAUACAGAAAACUUGUUUGGUGAGCUCAUAUUGGUGGAAAACUGUACAGUGAUUAAAAACAAAAAAAAAUUCAUUUUUCAAUGUUUACAAAGGAAACAAGAAAACGCUAUUACACUGGGUUCUCUAUUUUAUUUCACUUUUACUCUCUGCCAAGGCCCUACCAUCUUAACUUUUAUAACAUGGUGUAAUAAAUUACGUGGGCCCAUUUAAUAAAGAAAUAAUCUAAUAAAUAAAUUAUUAUAACAAAUAUUUAAAAAUAAUAGCAUUCCAUACCUUACAGCUUAAUUACUUAAUAUAUUACCCAAAUUAUUUUAAAUAAAAAGUGAUAUCAUAUAAUUAUUAUACUAAAUUAUUACAUUGUUCGACCAAUAUGCAGUUAUUUAAAAAUUACUACAAACUUUCUUACAUAUAUUAAUGAAAAUAUAUCAAUAAUAAAGUUACAUCUUGACAGUUAAUAUAAAUAAAUAUAUGAUAAUUAUGAAAUAAUUAAAGAUUUUCUCAAUUAAUAUUAUCUUAUAACUACAAUUUAUUUACAUAAUUAAAAGUUUUUAAGAAAUUAUUAAAAUAUCUUCAAACCUAUAUGCAUUUAUAAUAAUAUAUAAUACAUCAUAAUAUAAUAACUAAAUAGAUAAAUUAUUUAUUAAUAUAAAAUAUAUGUUUAUAUUCAUUAUAUAAUAUUAUUCUUUCAUAGUAGUUUCAUUAAAUAAUUCUCUACUCUCUCUCUUUUUAUCUUUAUUUUUUCGGACAGACAAGUAACCAAACACCGCUUCACCUUUUUUUUAUUUUCAAAUACUAUUCUUAAAAUAAACUACCAAACAUAUUUUUAUUUUUAACAAAAACUAAUCAUUUUUAUUUUAUAAAACAAAUUGAAAAGUACUAUUUAAAAUAUAAUACCAAACUUACCCUUAAUAAUUUUAUAUUUGUCAAAAAGAUGAGAAGCUAAGUGGCACUAUCGUUUACCUAUUCAAACUAAACGUGGAGUCACAAUAUUGAAGACACUUUGGUGGCCACAACACUCUUUUCUUUAGUACGGAACAAUCUGGCUUACAUGACACUACAUAAAAAUAAAUAAUAAAAAAUCACCGAUUCCAACUGCCCCGGACAAAAAACAGGCCACACGUAAAAAGGCUUCUAUUUUUAUUUUUAUUUCUCCCCAUUUUAAAGAUGACGUCAUGGUGAUUAUGAAACCAGAAAAUAACAAAUUUUAGUUGUCUGAUUUUGUAGUUAUCCAGCGAAAACUAAAAAAACAGUGAACGCAGCAGCAGAUCUCCGUGUUUGUCGUCGUUCGAUGAGAGAUUCCGAUUCGUGAGCAUCGCAAGUGUUGAAAUGGAAUCAGACGAAAUGAGGAGUUAGCCUCUUAUUAUAUAAUAAUAAUAAUGAUAAUAAUAAUAAUAACUAAUCUCUUUUAUCAUAUAAUUGAUAAUGGAAAUUCACAUUGACAAAAGGCAAAUUACACACUGACUGGGCAGAAUAAAAAACAGUCUCUCUCAAAAGCAAUAAUUUAAACACUAACACCACCUUAAGGAGACACCCCAAAAAUAAAGCAGCAAGCUCUUACUGUGACCACACACACACACACACACCAAACUUUUAUUAUAGAAUAAAUCUAAGAUGAUGGAUGAUGGAUGCGUCACAUAAAAGUUAAUUAAUUUAAUCGCUGUCACUGCUGCUGCUGCUCUCGUGUCCGUCCUCGUGCUUCUUCUUCUUCUCCUUCUUUUUCUUCUUCUCUUCACCGUGGGCGGCGCCCUCGCCGCCGCCGACACCGGGGAUCUUCUGCUUGAUCUUGUCCACCAAGCCCUCCUUGUGUUCGCCCUCCUUGUGUUCCCCGCCGUGAUGCUGCUGCUGAUGGUGAACAUCAGUAGUGCCGACACCGGGGAUCUGCUGCUUGAUCUUGUCCACCAAGCCCUCCUUGUGUUCGCCGCCGUGAUACUGCUGCUGAUGGUGGACAUCAGUAGUGUGGUGGUCCCCACUAUGGUGCUCUCCCUUGUGCUUGUCCUCCUCCUUUUGCCCUCCUCCCAUGUGAAGGGCUUCUCCGAUCUUGUGAAUAACUCCUGACAUUUUCCCUUAAAAUGACUCUGUUCCUCUUCUUUUCUUUUCAAUGAAAAAUAGUUGUUUGCGAUCUUCUUCUGGUUGUUGUUGUUCUUGUUGGGUGAUCUUGGCUUGGUAUUUAUAGGCUCCAAAAGGAGGGACUAGAAUUAGGAUUAGAUUAUAGAUUAUUUUAAUACAUUUUAUGGCAAAUUCUGAUUUGGAAAGAUAAGAUUAUCCUUUUGGUUUUCCUUAUUUACCCUUUUGCACCCAUUACGUGUACGCGUCUUCGUGGGCUUUUUGGGUAUUUCAAUUAUAUCGCCAAUGCUAAAUCGACACGUUGCAUAUCAGCCGCGGUACUGCCGUAUGUAGUUGUCCAGAAAUCGAGUCGAUUCUCGAUCGUACAAUAAUUAAAUAAUAUUUCAUACGAAAUGAGUUUAGAUAUAUUUUGAAAAUUUAUUUUUAAUUUAAUUAUACGUGUUAUAUAUUUGUUAAUCGAAUAGAGGUCCCACGUAACAGAGUGUUUCUCUAAUCUUUCAUUGCUUUUAAUUAAUUUUACCCAAAUAAAAAAAAAAAGGAAAAUUUAGAGAGAGAGAGAGAGAUAGCGAAUUAGAAGUUGAUUGUAAUAUCGACACCUGUCAGACAAUCAAAUAUCGUUAGUUAAAAAUCAGUUGUCCAUAGUCAUGGUCAUAGAUGGCGAAAUUGAUACUUAUUUUAAAAAACAAAACAAAACAAAACGAAACGAAACUAAACUAACAGAUGUUGAAAUGCAGUUCCGUGUUAACAGUCUGUGAUGAAUCUUUAUCUUUGAGUAUACCAUUCAAGAAAUUAUCAUUCAAAAAUUUAUUUAAAGCAGCAGCAAAUCACCUUCUAAUUCCUGAAUCAAAUUAAUUCGAUUUUUUUCGAGUCGAUCAAUUCAUUAGAGAAUUAACGGGCUAAGUUAAAGUUUUGUUAGUUAUUUUUUUUUAUAUUCCUUUAGAUGAUAUGAUUGUCAUUGUCUUUCUUUCUCUGGGCAACAAUAAAUACAAGAUGUGCAAAAGCGUAGUGGAACAUAAUUCGAUUAUGGGUAAAGGGAUCAGUCCGCAUAAUGAGGAUAAAGUUUUUCUCUUUAAAAAAAUUUAACCCAAAGAAAAGGUCGUAGUUUGUAAUAGCCGACACGCAGAUAGAUCACAAAGCAUGGCGGUCCUGAUGGCAAUAACUAACUGAUAUCUUCUGCGAUGAGAGGAGAUCACGUGGUUCUGACACGUAUCGCCCCAUCAACUGAUGUUGUGGCUGCAAUCGCGGCCCAGUCUUUAGAGAGAAGAAAGAUCUGUUAUAACGGGACCUACUUUAGCAUCUAUUUACGACAAAGCCCCUAUUUACUCUACUUAGUAGUAAUAAUAGCAAGUGUCGGGCUUGGAUUCCGUGUUGCUUUAAAUAAAUAUCCGCGUAAAAAGAAAAUGCUUCUUUAAUCCCUUCCUUGUAAUUUUUCGACACGUGGAUGGUUGAAAUUAGCGUGCCGACAUCUUAGGAAUUUUAUCUUGGAGACGGGAACACUGCAGUAGGCAAUGCCAUUUUCUUCGGAUGGUGUGUGGUGACAACGCCUUGGAUUUUGACGUGCAAAGAAUUUAAAUUGAAAAAGAAAAAAAGAAAUUACCAGAAUAAGCAUAGAAGAGAUAUUUUUCUUUUUGUCCUUUUUGGAAUGGAAAAAGAGAUCAAGAGAUUGUUCCAGUAAGUAUUACACAUGUCACAGGCUUAUUCAUGCCCCAUUAUGGCAACUUUUAUGCCUCGCGGUGCCCUCGGUUCCAGCAUAAUAGCUAAGACUUCAAUUUUUCUAACAUAUUUUUGUUACAAAUAUGAACGGAGUAAAUGUAUAACUUUAAUCCUUUGAAUAAAGAAAUGGCGGUUCUCCUGCUCGUUAAUCUCACUUGAAUCCCACCCAGGCAAAAUUUCUUUAUUUUAUUUAACAACAAUUUAAAGAAAGAAACUUUUGCCAGGUUGAAUUUCAAGUGAGAUUCAUUCGUGGGAGAAGUGCCAUUUCUUUAUUCAAAAGAUUAUGGUAAUUACAACUUUCAAUUUCGACAUAAAUUAAAAUUAUAGGCUAUACAAUAAAAUUGCCCUAAAUUAGUCCUAAUCAAUUCAGAUUAUAAAUUUAGGUAUAUUUAUUAUUUUAAUAUAUUAAUGUUCUAUAUAUAUAUAUAUAUAUAUAUAUAUAUGUGUGUGUGUGUGUGUAUNNNNNNNNNNNNNNNNNNNNNNNNNNNNNNNNNNNNNNNNNNNNNNNNNNNNNNNNNNNNNNNNNNNNNNNNNNNNNNNNNNNNNNNNNNNNNNNNNNNNNNNNNNNNACAGCAGAAAAUAUUUGCUAUGGAUAAGGAGACAUGGUCCCACGUCCCACCGUCCCAAUGCAUAUUUUGUAUGUUUCCAUCUUUUCUGAAAUUUUAAUAAAUAAAGUUUUUUGACCACUUGGCCAAAGAACCUUACCCUUACACAACUUUGUGGUUGGAGUCCUGUGAUACAUGUAAGAACUUAUUUUUUUUCUUAAUUAUAAUAUUUUAGAAUAUAAUUAAGUGAAGUAGGUUUUUUUUUUAAAUAUGAGUAAAAUAGAUAUUUUUUAAAUAUUAAAGAGAGUAAAAUUUGAAUAAUAAUAUAUUAAAAUUAAUACAAACUAAUUUUAAUAAUUAUUUAAUUAUAAAUAUCAAUUAUAACAUCAUAUAAUAUCAAUUAUAAUAUCGUACAUCUCAAUUAAUUCAAUAAUAAUAAUAAUAAAUGUUUUUUGGGAUAAGUAAACAGUCGCAUGGCGACAAUAGUGGAUCUGGAUUAGAGUGAAGUGGUCCCAAGAGGCUGAGGCUGUGGCUGUGGAGUUCUAAAAGUCAAAAGCUCCACGCACUUUGUUUCAGUACCAUACACACUGAAAAAAUUUGCAUUUGCAAUGACGAAAACUUUUCACGAAAUCAAAACACCUCUAAACUAUUUUGUUAUCGAUAUUUAAUGGAGGGGUUUCCUACCUUUUUAACACUCGAUUCACGCCUUGACGCAUCUCACAGAAAACCUCAUGAUCCCAUUAAUCUUGCGUAACAUAUCUCAAAGCCAAUGCAAGUGAUCUUGUUGCCUACUUCCCUUUGACGAUUCAAAAUUGUUGAAAAUAAUUCUUUUUUUUUUUAACCUCAAGGAAGUGACAAAAUAUAAAAGAAUAUUUUCUACACAUUAAACAUCUAGAUUUUUUUUUCUUUUCUUUUUAGAGUACUUGCACAAACCGUUUCCAAGAGAGACCUUUUUUUUUUUUUUUUUUUUCCGGGCUUGGUUACUAAUUUGGUGUGAAUACUCUAUGGUGAAAAAGGAAUCACAAAGCUGUAAUCAAUUUUUUUGCAUCAUUUAGUUGUAACUUGAACAUUGGGAGGUUUAUAAAGAAUUAAAUUAAUUAUAAUGCCUCUACUAGGAAAAGUUCAGAGUAGCCCUUCACAACUUUUUAAAGGCUUAAUAAUUUUCGCUUUCUUCCUCUCAUAACAUAACAAAAAAUUAAGAGCUUUACUCGUACACGUCCUAUGGCUAUAUAGUAUUGGGUUCUCUACUUCAAUCGGCUAUCUCAAACCGAAGGUUAUUUGGACACACCAGCAGUCACGUUUGGAAACUCUCAAAUGCUUGGAUUGUAAUUCUUGUGGAUGAGAUCAUCUAAAUCUUGGGCCCAAGCCGGACAAUGGGUGGACAAAGAACCCUAAAAUACAGUAAAGCUUCUAACACCCCACUAAAACUCUUAAGAAAUCCUACCUUUUAUUUUUAUAUCUCUUUCUUUUAGAAAUUAUAGAGAAGACAUAGCAUUUUAAUUAUUUUCCCUGCCAUUGAAAAUAAAUUCUGUAAACAUAUUUUUUCAUAAUAAAAUUAUUGUUAUUAGAUAAUUUAUUUCUUCAUUGUUUCAAAAUUAUUAUAAUUUUAUCAACAAAAUUAGUUAUGUCAUAUAUUAGGAUUAAAAUUAAUUAGGAUCCAUAACUUGUAAAGACAUUUUAGUUUAAUUGAAUUCAUAUUUGUCAUUUUAUGUAAUUUUCAAUAAAAAUACGACUAUGAGUGCAAAAGUGGGAUGACAUAAUAUUAAAAGAGUGUGAAAUAAUCGGUAAUUGAAAUGGAUUGAAAUCAUAAUAGAGUAUGAAAAUCAGAAUAAAUUGUUUACUUUAGUUGUAGAAAUCAAAAUUAAAAUAAACCAUAUUAUCAUUGAUGUAUAUAUGUUUUCUUGUAAUCGAAAUGAAUUCUUAUAAGUUACUAUAAGACCCUUAUGGUGUGUUUACUAAUCAGAAAUCAGAAUGGAGUGGAAUUUGAAUAUAGAAUGGUAGGGGUAUUCGCGGAUCGGAUUUUACGGAUUGGACAUUAAUUCAUAUCCGAUCCAUAAUUUUACGGAUUAUAAAUUCUCAACACAAUCCAAAUCCAAUCUAUAUGUUUGCAGAUCGGAUGCGGAUUUGACUCAAUUCAUAUCCAAUCCACUAUUUGACGGAUUGAUUUUGGAAUUAAAAAUUUUUAAUUUUGUCCAAUCUAUGAGGUAAUUAAAUUUAAAAAUCUAAUAUAAAAAUAAUUUAUUAAAUAAAAAAUUAACGUAAAAAUAAUUUUACUACCAAUUAAAUUCAAAAUUGAACAAGAUUUAAAUAAAUUAAUUAUUUAAAUAAAACUAGAAUAAUUUAUUUAAAAUUUUUAAAUAUAACAUAUCGAAAAAAAAUUCAUUUGUUUAGAUUAAUAUAUGAAAAUUAACUAAAAUUAUGAAUUUAAAUGUUGAAAUUUGAGAGCUUGGAUGUAACAGGAAGAAAUUAAGAAACUUGAAGAACUUGAAAAGAAAGUAACAAAUUAAGCUUAACUACCUCUAAUGGUGAAGUGAAACAGUGAUGGUUUGUGCGUGCAAUGGGGUACAAAUUUGGCAUUAUAUGCCAAAAUAUUUUGUUUGGCUUUAGAAUUUUUAAUGUUUAGGAAGCUAUAUUUGUUUAUUUAAUUACUCAAAUAUUUAAUUAUUUUUUAUUUUAUGUUAUUAUUGAAUAAGAUAUAAUAUUGUGUUAAUUUAGCUAUACUUUAAUUAAUUAAUUAAUUUAUUAGUAAGUAGCAUUGCUACAUUUAUAAGUUUUAUUUUUUAUUAAAUAAAUACUUUUUUUUUUCAGAUUCACGAAUUUUUACGGAUUUACAGAAAUAAAUCCAUAUCUAAUCCAUCGACUGUGGUUUUUUAAAUUUUCAUUCCAAUCCGAUCUACCAAUCCACAAAUUAUAUUUUUACGGAUCGGACGAAUUGAGCGGAUCAAAUUGGGUUCUGAACACCCCUAGAGAAUGAGAAUCAAAAUAAAUUAUUUACUUUAGUUGUGUGAAUCGGAAUUGGAAUAAAUUGUACUGUCAUUGAUGUGUUUACUUUAUCUUGGAAUCAGAAUGAAUAAUUUCAAAUUACUAAACUGACCUUAAUUUUUUAUUGUAAUAAUAAUAGUAGUAGUAGUAGUAAUAGUAGUAAUUUUCUAUUAUUAUUAUUAUUUUCUCUCUCUUUUGUUUUUAUUUUUUUAUUUUUCUCUUCUUCUUCUCUUCCUCUUUUUUUAUUUUUCUCUAAUUCAUCGAUACUUCUUCUUCUUCUUUUUUCUUUCGUUUUUAUUUUUAAUUUUUCCCUUCUUUAUCGUUCCUUCUUCUCCGUCCAUUCUCUAUCUUCAAACUCUUUUUACUUUUUCUCUUAUUCUUCAUUACUUCUUCUCCCUUUUUUUUUUUUUUCUCUUCUUUAUUAAUUCUUCUUCUUCUGCGUCUAUUCUUCAUCUUCAAAUUAUCAAGUGAAAAAUACCCACGGUGCCUUACAAGAAGAAUUGGUUUUGUUUGCUUCAAUUAUUUUUUGUAUUUUGUACUUUUGAUUGUUUCAAAAGAGGAUAAACUUGUAAUAAUGCAAUUUAAGUAGGGAUGUUUUAGACAAUUUUGGGUAUGAGAGUCUAAUUCCCAACCCCCCACUCCCUCGUAGCAGACUCCCAUUCUUCAUUCCUAACUUGGUGUUGGACCUACUAAAAUAAAUCCCAUUCCCCUUCUUAUUUCAAGAAGCAAACACGAUUUUGAUUUCAAUUCCCCAAUCCGAAAGUAAACGCACAAAAAUUGUACCCAUAUGAGAUUGCUUAUCCUCGAGUUUUUAGAUUGAAAAAAAAAAAGGAAAAAAGAAUGGCCCCAUUAGGAAGGGAUUUUAAGUGUUAGAUAAAGCCGGUGUUAACCAUUAGAAGGUCUCCGACCUUCAACUGUAAUAUAUUAAACCCAGAUAAAUUUACAUAUAAAUCACACAAACCAACAUGCCAAUCAAAUAAAUUACAUCAACUAACAACAAUUGACACAUUAAUUUUCAUAAUACAGAGGAUGCAGAAAAUUAAAAUGUUUUAUCUUUUCUCCUUAUUUGUGAAUUGGAAAAUGAAAAUGUUAAACAUACAGAAGAGUGAAACAGGAUGGAUAUAUAUACACACACACACACACACAGCUUUGGAGUUCAAUGUCAUCGUAUUGCUCCAAGAAGAUUGGCGCCAUCAAGCUUUGCACCUUCCAGAUGCUGUUUAAUCAUCACCAUAACACCUUCAGUAGACAUUAAUACAUAAUAGAAACACAAAAUUCACAUGAUCUGAAUGUCUGGUCUAUUUUACUUACCGUAUCUCGAAGAUUUACGUGCCGUAAAUAAGCUCUUUGAAGGUUGGCACCCUUUAAAUUGGCAUUACGUAGCUUUGCACCCUGCCGCAUAAAUGUUCGAAGUUUCAACAAAUUAAAGUCUCCUGAGAAAUACAUGUCACGAAAAAGUAGGGCUGAAACUUGCAUCUAAUGUACAAGAUUCAAUCAGGGGUGCUUGUCCCACAGUGAAAGUGUAUGGGGGAAAGUGCACUUUCACAAACCAAAGGGGCAAGAUGUGAUUAUCACACGAUUACAAAAGGACUGUAGUCAAGAGAGAGAACUGAACAUGCAGCUUGUAUUGAGGCCAUGAAAAUUGAUGAAAAGCAGUAACAAGCAACCAUUUUGAAAACACUUCAUAUGGUCGAAUCAAUAAAUCAAAGCUAAAAUGAUGUUGACGAUCGAUAGCUUUUAGGUGAUAAGAGUCUUGGCACUACAGUUAAAAUUAUUAUCUAGGAGUGCACACAUUAAUAAAAAAAAACACAACCAAUAAGCAUGCACUCUUAAUCAGCAUAUAAAUUAACAAGUUAGUUGCACCUUAUGUUGUUCCACAAACAGAUUGCUCGAACAAUUCACAAUCUUACCUUCAAAUUAGCUCCUUCCAAAUUAGCUCCCUCUAGGUUGGCAUUAGUAAGAUCAGCAGUCUGAAAAGUCAAGAGGACAAACAGAUUGCAAUUUGAUUAAAAUCUCAAAGUAGCAACAUUCUGCAUGAAAGAAGAGCAGCACAAUUGGCAACAUACAUUUUAGAUUAAGAGGAUGGGAUAAAAGCAAAAUUACAAGGACAUGAAGCAAAUGAGCCAUGUUUAGUAUGGCAAUUUUGACCCAAUAAUUGUGGCAGGUCUUGGAGAUAACAUAGGCAUACACAUAAGGCAGAAGCAAAUACUGUCGCAAACUCCUAGCUAACUACAAAUGUUCCAUAUAGAAAAAAACACCUGCAAAAGUAAGGGAAAAAGCAACAGAUAAAGAACUCAAGAUGCUAGACCUGUAAGUGUGCAGAUCGCAGGUCUGCUCCACAGAAGCUGCAGUCUAUCAAGCAAGCAUCUGCAAUGAUUUAAGAUAAAUUUGAAUCCAAAUGACAUUUUACCGCAAGUAGUUCCAGCCAUUUUGGGAACAAACAAGAAAUGCUAUUUUGUAUUCAUUGUAAUUCCUUAAGCUAAAUAACAAUCAUGUGCUAUCUUAACCAAGGUACAGUUGCAAAUUCUGAAAUUGUGAUGCCAUAGGUUGUUCUUAAUCUUUUUGAACUGAAUAUUGAAAAAAUAUUCCUUCAAUCAUAAAUGUUAAAUAAUUAAAAGAACUGUGAGGGGGGNNNNNNNNNNNNNNNNNNNNNNNNNNNNNNNNNNNNNNNNNNNNNNNNNNNNNNNNNNNNNNNNNNNNNNNNNNNNNNNNNNNNNNNNNNNNNNNNNNNNNNNNNNNNNNNNNNGGGGGGGGGGGGGGGGGAAUGAAUAAGCGGAUGCAUACAGAAAAUUAUGGAAAAUCUGUUAUGGAAAUAAUAUGAAAAUGGGUAUGCAUAACUACAUACUGAAUCUUGACUAAUUUCAAUUUAAUUCAGAUAAGAAAUUCCAGUAUGGGAAUUGCCUUGUAAAUUUGCACUCUGAAGAUUUGCACCAGCUAGUAAAGCUCCACGAAGGUUUGCCCCAGCAAAUUCACAUCUUCCCUAGGCAAGAUAAAACCCUUAAAAGGCAAUUUUGAAAAAUACAUAUAAUUGGGAGAAUAUCCAGUAUUGCUUUGACUCUCUUACUCACGCAAAGUUGCAUUGUGAAAAAUGGAACCCUCAGCAUCCACAUCCUGUAUCAAGAACAGACAGAUUCAGUAUGAUUAAUAUAACUGGUUGCUGGAAGACAGGACAAAAUCGCAUCUUGUCACUGUCAACUUGCAUGUUAAGAAUUAAACACGAAAACUGCAUGCUGUCCAAUUAUAAGAAACCUAUAAAAUUCAAAUCAACAUCAAUACUGGCUUAAGGAAGAUAUAAAAAUAAAAAUUAUACCAACCCGAAAUUUCGCAGAUUGAAGAUUUGCACGUGAGAAGAAAACAUUUCUAAGACACGCAUAGCUGAAGUCCACAAGUGAAAGAUCCUGGCCAUUUUAAUAAGAUAGCAUCAGAGGAAACAAUAUCUAAUGAAUAUAUAAUGUUCUUUCUUGCUUAUCUGAGAAUACUAAUGAGAUUAUCAAAAAAACUCUAAGCUACUGCUAAGAAGUCUUGUGUUACAUGAGUAUGAAUUGAGGAGGUAAAGAAGACCCUUCUCCAAUAAGUUACCAUAGAAGCCACAUAAAACCCUAAAGCAGUUACAAACUUACAAUGACCAGAAUAAACCACCCCAACUAUCUAUUGGCAAGUAAAAUCACUUCUCUGGAUUUCUGAAAACUAGCAAAACAAAUGCAUAAAUUGGCAAAUUCGAUGAUUUCCUCUGAAAACCAAAUUAUAGCAGACAUAAAACUUGGAAGUAUUCAUAGAAUAAAAAUCUUUCAAGCACCUCAAUUCAGUAAUUAUUACCAGCUUAGAAAGAUCAAGGCCAGAAAGAUUAAGUCCUCGAAAUCUGACUUUUUCAGACUGUAUACACUUGAUGAUAUCAAUGCGUGUUAGCUCAGUAUCUAACUCAUUAUCUUCCUUUCUCUUAUUUAUGACAGCAUGGAUUCUCUCAAUUAGUCCCUGAAAUGAAACACAUUAGAUGCAAACUAUUAUUUGAAAAAAGAAAUACAUUUUAUCCACUAACACACAUGGAUUUCAACAGCAAUCAUACAAUAAUUGAGGAAGGACGGUCAUAUCAGACUCAUCUGCCAAGAUUCAAUAAGCACAUCAAACUUGUUUACAUGUAAUUUCCACAUUCCACGUGAAUUUAUAAGGUCUGCCUAAGCAAACCAAAGAAGGCUACACUCAGUACUGUGUGUAUACUGCCUUACCUUUGCUGUUCCCCAGAUACCGUCCUGCAAUCCAGAUACUUAGCUGUGAAGUUUCAAGCCAGCGAAACCAUUUUAAAAGUACACAUGGACACAGAUACCAUUAUCUGAAUCAUCUUCGAUAACAAAUUAAAAUGCCCUAGCGUUCAAAAAACUUAGGAUCUCUUUAAGUGAAGUUCCUUUAAAAAAGUAGAAAAAAACUGAACAACAAUGUCAUGCUAAUAAAAGGUAAAAAAAAUAAAAUAAAAUAAAGCAUAAGGACAGAAGUUCACCAGGAGCAUGCCAGUAUAAACCAAAACGACCACAAAUCUCAACCAUAAAAUUUAAAGUAGUAAAGUAAAUAAUCAAGGGCAUGCAGUUGGCACAGGUGCUUCCAAAUAAAAUGAUGAUUCUUUUCAAACAGAAAAAAGAAAUGGAUGUUAAUAAACUAGAAGAAACCAUGUCUUACAAGUAAUUGAUAAUAUUCUGCUUCCCGUAGAAGCUCUAAAAACUCUGACUCUGUUAAUGUGGGGACAGCCCCAUCCCUUAACCAAUUCAGAAUAUGCCGAAAAUGUUUUCCGUCCCUAUCAACAAAGAUAUAGCCCUGCAAUAAUUCAAUAUGCUCAAAGAUAAGAAUCUGAAUAAUAUACCCAAGAGAAGUGCUUUUCCCUGGAAUAAUAAAAAGAAAAUAAGUCAAAACGUUUUUCUUAAUGGAAGAACACAAAGGAACAGCUCUAUGACUAACAUGAAAACCAUAAAUCAGAAUAAGAACCCAAAACUGGUCAUUUGGAGUUUCACCAGAUCAAAAAGAUCACAUGGAAAUAAAAUUGUGAAAAUGGGAUUAUUUAUGCCGAGGUCAUGGCUAAACUGCAAUCAUUACUCCAUUUUUGGUAGAAGGAGAAGAAGAAAGAAGAGUAGGUGAGUCAUCAUUCUUUCAGGUGAGUCAUCAUUCUUUCUCUGUGAUUAAUUGAUAUGAUGGAAGUGUUGUAGAUAUUAAUUUGAUAGUGAUUCCUCCCUUCAAAAGAAUUCAUUCCUUUUUUUAUUAUUUCACAAAGUUUAACUAAGACUGAGUUUUCUCAAUUUGAAGGCAUCGUGCACUCUACCCCUUUCUUUUCCUCACAUUGCUUCUUCCCAAUCCCAAAGGGAAGAAAUCAAGAAACAAUUACAAUUUUUAACUAUUCACCAGCAAAAACAAGGCAAAGAAAGAUGCUGAGUGUAAGCAAAAAUAAGAGAGUUAUACACCUCAGAGUCUUGGCACACAGUAUGGCGACCGCUGAACAUAGCUGCAAGCAUAGAUUCAGGCUCACGACGAGUCAGAGUAUCAAUUGUUGUAUAAAAUUUCUUUCCCCCUGGAUAUUAAUACAUAAAAUAUAAAUUUGUUCACUUAAAAGCAUGAAUUGUGCAAAUUUGUCAAUAAUGUCAUUCUUUCACAAACGUUCACCGAAAUGUAUAACAAUAAGUGCAUCAUAACAUAACUAAACGGCUUAAGAACUGCGCAGAUAUUACAUACAGUAGAGAAACAAGAAAUAGAAAAUGAGAUUUGCCCUUUUUAAACAGAAAGCAAUCAAAGAGUAAACUAAAGAGCUAAUAAUUCACAAAAUUCAGUUGAUUAAACUCAUUUACAAGUAAUUAGCAACAAAAUCCAAGCUAAAUAAAAAUAAUGAAAAUUAGGUUCUUAUAACAUCCGUCAAUUCUAUGAAAGUUUACCACGAUCAGCAACAAAUAGAUAAAUCGCAAUAAAGAAAAACCGACGACAUGUCGGUUGUGUAGUGCAUAAGUAAAGGAAUUUGCAGAUGAUGUAAAGAGAAUGAGGGAUAGUAACUGACCGAUGUUGAGACGAACCAUUGAAGACGAAUCGGAGUCCUUCGCCAUUGUCGAGUGUAAUGACUUGUCGUCUUACUUGCGCUCAUAGGUAUUUAUAUCAUAGCUGACACUGUUCGAAGGACAGCAAGGAUUUGGUGGGCACAAAUGCAUUUUGGAAAUUGGGCUUCGGCCCAAGAAAUCGAAAAUCAGAGGCUUUUUUUUAAAAAAAAUUUAAAAGGAUUAGAAUGUCUAUAAAUUAAUAGGGCUGAGACCAUCUUAAAUCUAUUAAGUAAAAGAGAUAUUAAAUAUUUUAUUAAUUAAUAAUUUAUUAAUUUACAGAAUUAUUUAUAAUUCAAUUAACAUACAUUUAAUAACUAAACAUUCAAUGUACAUAAUUUCUGAUUACAAUUCAAAGCACUAACAAUACUUCAUAAUUUCUUAUUACAAUUCAAGAAUUCAACCUCAUAGCUUUUAGAUGCAAUAAGAAAAAUAAGAAAUAAGAUUCAGUUAUAUUUAAAUUUUAAGAAAAAAACAAUAAAAUCAUAUUUUAUGUAAUUAAAAUAUCAUAGUCAACUACAUUUGUAAUUUCAACAAAUUAUUACUCUAUGAUUUAAAUGAGACCACAAAGUUAUAUAAGAUUUUAUCGAAAUUAUUAAUUUAAUCCAUUAGUCCAUGUCAAGACCUUGAAAAUUUAAUAAUUAUAUAAUAGAGAUUAUUAAUUUAUCGAGUAUUAAUUUAUAGAAGUUCUGAUUGUAUAUUAUUUUAUAUUAAUAAAGAAUAAAGUAGCAUUCUUUUUUAAUUCCGAAGUAAUAAAAUUAUGGCUAAAUUAAGAGAGUAGAUAUAUUUUAUAACUUGGUUUAAUAACAUCACGCGCCUCCCUUGUAGUUUUGCAGCUUUGAAGCUUUAUAAUGAAUCCUAUUAGCUUUGGCUGGAAAGUUAUAUUGUUAAAGAGAGUUUAUAUAUUAAACAAGGUGAUCUAAUAUUUCCAAAACUAAAUUUGGGAUCAAAAAUAGAAAACAUUUGCAUGUUUUUACCUUUUGGAAGAAUUACUUGAUAAGUGCUUCACAGAAAAAUGCUUGCUAUUAUAGAGCACCCUAAAAAAAAUCCUUAAUAAUUGAGGGAUCAUAAUAAAGUUCAAUUCUAAAUCUGUCAGAUAGAUCGAAAGUAACAAACCAUAUAUAUUUAAAUCUAUUUAGUAAUCCAGGGUUACAAGCCAAGCGUGCAAUAGCCAAUUCUGAAAAUCAAAGCUCAGCCUAUGCUCUCUGAGCACAAAUAAGAUCUGAUAUAUACAUAUCGAAUCCUCCAUUAUGUGGAGUGAAAUUUCCAUCGUGUACGGUGUACCUAACAAUGAGAAAGCAUGGCAGCAUAAAUUCAUCUUCCAUGUUAUUCUACUUAUUAGUACUGGUUCCCUCAUAACUUCUCCAAAUCGGGGAGGUCUGCAAUGUGUAAAGCACGUAAUCAGAUAAAAGAAAGAGAGCCAAAAAAAAAAAAAAAGGUAACAGCCAAAAGAUUAAAUUUCUUUGAGAAAUAGAAAAUGGGAGCUUUUGGCAUAGGCACAGAAUAGAAAGUAACAGAGUCAUUUACAGUUGUUCAGAAUAUGCAAGCUGAAAACAACUUUGAAUGCAAUGGACAAUUCCUCCAACAAACAAUCGAAUUGGAUUGUGGAAGAGACAAAAGCUUAAUGAGGUUAUGGUUUUGGCUAGGUGAACUCAAAAUUCUUUUAUAGACCAAGUAGGUAAAAACAAAUCCCAUAUAGAUGGAUGAACCUCAUACCAUGAACAGUUAAUCGCGAACACUUGCAGGCUUAUGCACACGACUAUGAAGAUACUAAGGGUUUCACCGAUGGUAAGUGAAAAAUAUAUGAUGUAUAAUUUAAAUGGAAGCACAUAGUUUCGGAUUGAAUUCAAG
rnacentral:lncRNA from 1 species